rnacentral:lncRNA from 1 species
UUUAUUAAGAAAAUGAAUAGACAAUACGAAGAGAUAAAGUACAAUGAAGAGGCUAGAUCUAGCCCCAAGGAUCAACAAGUGCACUUGGACAUCUCAACUAGGUUGACAUUCCCAUAUCUAGACAUAAACCAACAAAAUUACACAAAUUUAGAGCCAAUACAUAAAUAAGCAAAAAUACAACCAGCACAUGACUCAAAACAUUAAGAAACCUCAUGCUUAGUCAUGGGAUAUGAUGUUUUGGUGCUAAGGGGGUGUCAACCUAGUUGAGAUGUCUGGGUGCCCUUCUGAUCCCCCGCCUUUUGCUUUAUGCUUCUUUAUUUUUCUCAUUGUAUAUACCUCUUAUACUUUCAGAUUUUAUCAUUAAUAAAGAAGUUCGUCUCCUUUUCAAAAAAAAAAAAAAAGAAAAUUAAGAAACCGAGACAAAAGCAAAGACUUAAUUGCAAUACAAGAACCAAAUUAGAAUUAAGCAAAUAUACAAUUGCUUAAUCCUAAUUAAUCAAAAAAACUAAUCCUAAUUAAUCAAAAAAACUAAUCCUAAUGCUACUAAUCCAAGGAAACUAAUCCUAAUCUAAUCAAAAUAAAUAACUAAAUAGUGUUUUGGGGACACAUUAGACAAGGUACUUUCAAUGACAACAGGAGAAACACGAGUAGAAUGUCGGUUACCUGGAGUUUCAGAGUAUGAGAUUGGGUUUGUGACGAGUCCUAUUUGGUCCUUGUUCAAUUGAUUGGACCUUUUUCUAGUAUAAAACUUAAACUUAGGAUUCAGAUUAUUUGAAUCUUUUUGUAGUAAUUGUCCCCCUGAGUUAGAAGGUUUUAUGCUUGGCAACGUUUUGAAGAGAGACAGAUACAUCUACAUUCCAAAACGUACCAUCUUCUAAAUUUGAUGUAUUCUCCCCUGAAGAUAGUUUUGGGUGAAAAAGGUUGGUUUUCUAAAAGUGACAUCCGUUUUUUUUUUGACGAUCAAAACAUUUGUACCCCUUUUUGUUGGAAGCAUAACCCAAGAAAAUACAUUAAUAGCUCUAUGGUCUAAUUUUGAUCGAAAGUGACUCAGAAUAUGCACAUAACAAAUACACCCAAACACUUUAAGAGGUAACUAAGAGGACAAACGAGUAGUUUAGAAAGACUGAAAUCUGAAUCCUUCUGAAAAAUCGGAUUUCACAUUCUAUCCAAGGUACGAUUCUCAACAUCUCAACAUGUCCCCUCAAGCUGGUGUCUCUUUUGGUUUCACCAAUCUUCACCGGAUCUCAAUUUCUUUUUAUUAGACCGAAUACCAUUUUGGGCUUUAUGGACUUUGAAAUCACGUGAGUUUGAAUGAAGUAGAAUAUUUGUAUUCUAAUCAUAUAUUGUAAGAUACAUAUCCUAUGUAAAGGGUCUAAUACAUAAAUGGAAAGAAUAAUAUUGAUAAUAAAAUAGAAUCAUUUAUAAGUUUACAGAUAAUUAGUUUAUUUACAACCAACAGAGCUCUAUACAUGCUUGCCACCAAGAUUGAUUUUAUUCAACCAUUUUAGCAAAAGCAACCUAUAAAUCCAUCUGGAAAAUUUCUGCUUUAUAACACAAAAUUUGUGAAGGAAGAAGUUGAAAUAAACUUAUGAAAAGGGAGGCAACAAAUCAAAACUGGCCAAGAGUGAAUCCUGAAAAAUAGUUUAGAAAGGAUGUAUAUAACAAGAGAUCAAGAAAGGAUGUGAAAUCCAAUUCCUUAUCCUCAAAUGCAUUCAUUCUAAAUGAGCCAAGGAAAACCUUGGUUGACGAUGAAAGCCCAAGCGUUCUUAUUCUCAUCUUUGAAAGGGUGGCCGAUGAGGUGCAUAUUUUUUUUGAAAAGGAGACGGCCUCUGUACAAAUAUAUUAAGAAUGAGACAUAAGCUUAUAGUACAAGAGGAUUAUACCAUGGGCAAAUAAACCAAGGAUUAGGAAGUGCACUUGGGCAUCUCAACUAGGAGGAGCAUAUUAAGGAGGAUGAGAAGAUCAUUUCGGAUGAUCAAGUUGUAGUUUAAUAUUCUAAGAUUCUCCUCCAAAAAGAUUGAGCUUAGUCACAGAAAACCAUGCACGAUUGUCUCAUUACUCUGACGACAAAGGACCCACCAAUUAGGGGCAGAAGCAAUCCAAGGAGCCUUUUUAACAAGGACGUCAACAGUGUUUAUGCUACCAUGAUGGACCUCCUAUAGAAAGAAGCAAAUCUUCCUAUGGAUUGGACCCUUCCAAAUAUUCUUAUAAAGAGGAGCAAACUGAUUACAGUCAUUGGAACCAAGGUGAUGAGUCAGGGACUUCGCAGUAAGCUGCCCACUGCAAUCCAGAUUUCACCUCCAUUUGUCAGUAACAGCGAUACUUCGAGUGGCAACAAGUAAUGGGUAAAGAUUAGCCCAUUCAAGGAUCCCAUCAUCCUUAAGAUUUCGUCGUAGCUCAAGGUCCCAUGCCUCAUAAUCAGAAUUUCAGUACUUUGCAAUAGAAGCAUCCUUAUCUCUAGAGAGAGCAUAGAAUCUGGGACAAGAAACUUUAAAUGGAGAAUUUCCAGUCCAUGUAUCAUUCCAAAAGGAUGUAGAAGCCUCAUUUCUCACCGCAUAAGUAACUUUAUUGUGGAUAAGCUCUUAUUGCUUUUCAAUAUGGACCCGCAGUCCCUUGGAUUACUUGAAAAACCAGCCUUGUGUAUUCAACAGUGUCCCAUACUUUGCAUCAAUAACUCUUCUCUUCUCCUCAUGGUCCAGACAUUGGUCUCUUUUUAAAGAAUUCUGAGGUGAAACCAUGUGGGCCUAGUGAUUUAUUAUUACCAAGGUUAGAAAUAGCAUGCUAAAUCUCCAUCUCAGUAACUGGGGCCUCUAAGGCAAUGGUUUGGUCAGCUGUAAUAGGAUCCCAAUAUCGUCAGUUGGAAGAGAUUGAUUACCUCUUUGUUUGGUGUAACAACAUUGGUAGAAAUCAAGAAAUUCUGCUUCAAUGUCAAUGCAUCAAGAACACUGACCCUUAACCCUAACUGCCUUCGUCUAUUAUUACAUCUUUCUCCAAGAUGCUAGCAAAUGCAGUUUCUUGUUCUCUAUUAAAAAAAAAAGGUUACAUAUUCUCUUUCCAGACUAGUUCUUGAUUGAUGUUUAAUACUAAUUACUAAUUUUUAUGUUGAUUAGGAUAGUAUAGAAUUUGAUAAGGCAGCAUCAUCAGAGAGAAGUUUGAAAACUGUUGGGAUUCUGGCAAGGCAAGGAAAUGGCAUUGUAGCUGAUCAGGUAGCGAAUAUUUUAAAUUAGUGGGGACAAUGUAUUUCAGUCAAUUUCCUUGAUUACCCAUUGUUUUUCUGUUCGAUAUUAUAUUGUUAAACUGAAAAUAAUUGCCCAGUGUUCUUAUCACCUUUUUUUAAAAUGAUUAACAGGCUGUUCGUCCGGUGGCAGACGGUGAAAAAGUUGCUUUGCCCGGUAAUAUCACAUUUUUUUCUUUCUUUUGUUUUGUUUUUUUUUUUUUUGGGUGGGGGUUGGUUAUAGAAAACAAAAAAUUAUAGCUAAUACAAAACGAGGGGAAACGAGAUGCUCUAAAAGACCAACAAGGUUGUAAAAAGUACUCUUAAUUGGUGUCUCCUUAAUGGUGUUUGUAAAGUACUCCUAAUGGUAUUUAUAUAACAAGAUCUCAUAAUUAUAGAUACCGUUAACGAGACACCAAUAUGGGAUUAGUGUUAACACUUCCGCUUCAUGUCAUGUUUUCAGGACUUUUUGGAUGUUUAAAAUGAAACUCACGAGUUUAUUAACAUUAAAUUUAAAUAAUUUACUUUUCAUCAAUGUUUUACGGAUCCUAAAAUAAACUGUAUUAGAUCUCCUUGGACUAUUUCAAUUAACUCUUGUUUGUUUGGAAAAUCUUUAUUUUGAGUUUAAACGGUCAAUUGGUGUUGGUUCAAAAUUUCAUGCUUGGUAGUAAUAACCUCAGUUAGGGAUCUCGAAAAGUCGGGUCAUUACAACUUUACUCUUAUCGAUGUGCAUUUAAUUGUCAAUUGAUCCAGUAACUAUCUACAUUUUUCUGAUAAAUGUAUAUGAACUUUUUUCAUUAACAUCAAUGAUGAUUGCAUCCUUCUGUUUCUGGAAACGCAGUGAAUUCCACUUGGGGGAUUUCAUCUAUUUUUGGCAGUGCUAGCAGUGAUAGCCAUGCUCCAGUUAAAGAAAAUUCAUCAAAAAAAUCAUUUGCUGAGCCUUUGCAUGGUGUGGAGCAAUCUUUCGCAAUGAUCCACUUGAGAGAGGUUAGUCAUAAUACCACAAUCAACGGCAUUGAGUUUUGUUGCUUUAGCCACUAGCUGUCUUACAUAUUUCAUUUUGUUUUUAGCCACCAGCUGUCUUGAGGCCCUCAGAAAGCCUUACGGAGCAGGAGGCUAUGGAAAUUGCUAUAACUAAACUGCUAUUGAGAUCCUACUAUGACAUCGUUAGGAAGAACAUACAGGACUAUAUACCCAAGGCAAUCAUGAACUUCCUAGUAAGUUAAAUUUUUUACUAAUACCACCAGUUCAUAUCAUAUUUUUCUUCAAUUAAUUACCGGAAGCCAUGAGAAACAGAACCGUUUGCUUUUUUGUUAUAAAUUUAUUAAAAUUAUUGGUGGUUGCUCUAUUUAGUUGGGGGCUCUUUGAGCUUUCUCCGCUUACUUUCCAAAGCUAUGGGUUCUCGGUAGCCUUUGGUUCAGUUUUUAGACUACCGCUUGUUGUGAUGAGAUUGGUCUUUCAGACUCACUUUGCUCAUUUUUUUUGUUCAAUCCACUCGGUGUUUCUCAUUGUGGGAAUUAUUUUCUAUAUGUUGUUCUUUUUGGUCCUUUGAGCAUUAAUUGUUUUUCAUUUAGUCAAUUAAAUGUUCUCUCUUGGUCAAGAAAAAAAUCAUUAAAAUGCAUCUCUUUCAUCUUGUUAGUCAAACAAAGAAUUGUAUCGCUUCUUUUGAGAUGAAAGUUGUUAUAUAUUAAAAAAGAAGAAAAAAACAAAGUAUGGUAUCUGUUUAAUUAAUAGACAUGUUUAUGCUGUUGUGGAGUGAAAAUUUCUAAAUCUUGUCUUAUUAAUUCACUAUUAUGAUCAAGAAUAAAUACAAUUAACUAGUCACCAUAGGUAUUAGAAUCAAGUUGAUAAUAGACAUGUUUGUAUUAAUGCACUAGAAUCAAUGUCAGUAUGUGAUGCCUGAUAAUGUAGAGCAUGUCCACCUUAAACUUCUCAACUGUUCUAUUAUGGCUUCUUUGGCCUUCGACAUUUCUUCUCCCUUGUUUGCACGAGGGUUAUUUUCUUUCCCUUCCACUUAGAUUCUUCUUUGCUCUGAUUACCCACUUUAAAAGAUUCUUCAGCAUGUCCUCACAACUAGAGAUGAUGAACAAAAGACUAUACUUCGUACCUCAGAGUUCAGCCUCGUGCCUUCUCCCUUAGCAGUGUAUUCUAUGUAAGCGGGUGGUGGAGGAAUAUGCUUAUUUGCUUUGGCAGUAUCCUUUUGUUGAUAUCUGGUGCCAACUUCAGUAUUUUACAGAUACGCCAACUUCGUUGAGUUUUAAGUUUAGAUAGAGAGCUCAUGGAGGAAGCUUUUAAUCCUUGUUUGUAGACAUUAUAGAUCUCACUGUAGGUUAGUUUUUGGCAUAUGUUGCAGACCAAUGGGCUUGAGAAGAAUAGGGAGAUUCUUCAUUUUCUAAUGCUGCAAACGCAGCGUUUAAUGAUGUGUAAGCACAAGUCUAGGGACAACUGACCAUCUAACUUAGCAGCCCUACAGUCCAACCAAUCAACUUGCAAAAGUUAUAUUUUCCCCUUUCAAACUACAAUCCUUUUGAGGUAGGCCGACUGGAUAAACUCAUCAGGACCUAGUUGAUUAGACAAGUUUCACGUGUUUUGCAAUACCACCUUCCUACUGAUGUAUAUUCAGUUUCUUCCUGUUUUUGUCCUUGUUUUCCGUGCGAGUCCAAGACCAUGUUUUGAGAGGACAACUAAUAGGAUCAUAUUUAUUGCUUAUAUUUUGGUUGUUCUGAUUCAGGUAGUCCACGCCAAACGAGAUCUGCACAAUGUAUUCAUCAAAAAACUUUACCGGUAUGUACCAUUCUUCUACCAUCCUGAUUCUGCUUUUGGAUGCUCGUGACCUAGUAGUAUCUUUAGAAAUUUUUGACAUUCUAAAUUAUGUUUCUUUUUUGGAUGUGAUGUUGUAAAACAGAGAGAACCUGUUUGAAGAAAUGUUACAGGAGCCUGAUGAAGUGGCAAUGAAGAGAAAGCGUACUAGGGAAACUCUCCGUGUACUUCAGCAGGCUUUUCGGGUAUGAUUUUCCUGGCCACAUGAUAAAUGCUGGUGCUUUCAUCUUGAUAUGACGAGAGAUCGUUCAUGAUGUAAACUAUUCAGACUUGAAAUAACAUAUAAUAAUAAAAUAACCAUUCGGAUGAUGAGUUCUAUAAGAAUAGACAAAUAAAAGGGCAAAAUAAAAAGGAAAAAAAAAAGAAUGAUAUAUGAUCACAUCUCAUAAAGAGAUGAGGGAUUGGGCAAUAAAGCAUCUAGAUUCUAGACAGAUGGAUUCACGAUCAUAAUUUGAUGAAAUUUGUUCAUAGAGCAAAAGAGCUAGGAGUCACGAGACAGUAAACCAUUGAGAAGAUUGAUGACCAACUAACAAACUUUAUUGAGGGUUCUUUCAUGGUUCCCAUUGAAAUAAAUUGUUCAGAUCAGUUUGCUGUUUGAUCUUGACAUUAGCAUGCAUGAAGUUCUAAGAAAAUAUAAUCUUUUCAAUGAUUGCAGACAUUGGAUGAAUUACCGCUGGAGACUGAAACCGUUGAAAAGGGAUACAGUGUGGGCGCCGAUCCAACGGGACUACCCAGGAUCCAUGGACUGCCAACAUCAUCAAUGUAUUCUACAUCCAGUUCCGGUGAUUCAUAUUCUGCUUCUCCAAGGCAUCUGAAAUCCCGUAAGUCAUCUCAUUCAGGAGAGCUCUUGUCUACAUUCCAUCCUAAUGCUGAUUCUCAUGGAAAUGGAUUCUCGUAAACCCCAGGAAAUACUCUGCCUACUAAUCUGUAAGACUUCCAAUGUGCAUAAGAUUCCAAUCAUUACCGAAUGAAGGCAAUAUAUUUGAUUUACUGCUACCAAGUCUUGGAGUUUUACCAUCCAGAACUAUCCAACAUAUUAACAUCUUUUCCUCUACACAACUUCCCGUCUAUCUUGAUAUAUUUUAGUGUUAGAUUGCAUUAUUUAUGAAGCUGCCAUUAGAAUAAAUAGGGAGCAGAUGAACUCUAGUCACUCCAUUUUUUUGGAAAAUCAGCUGAUUGUAAAAAUAUAUUGCCAGUGAAAUUGGUCAGAUUUUGGAAUCAAUGUCUAAUUUUGGAGCUCCUAUAGUUCAUCAAUUGUAAUUUCCCCCCUUUUUUUUCUCUUUUCACUUUAUAUCUUUAACUCUGCUGCUCCACAUCAUAUUGUAUUGAAGGGUUUUGUAUGUUUGGAGAUAUGAGUUGUGGGACUUUUUCAGCCCAAACUUUUGUAAUUGCAAUUUUGAAGUGAUCUUUAUUUUAUGUAACUAAAUAUUGAGCUGUUUUCCAAUCCCACCAAAGCAAUGCAGGAUUGUUUCCAACUUUGCUUAUUAAUUAACAAAGCUGCAUAUAAUAAGGAAGUUUGAAAUGCUUUCAUGUUUACACACUACGCACAGUGAUGAAAGUCUUCUAGUUCUAACCAACAAUGAUAUUAAAAGGAAAAUUAAUUGCUGGAGGGAUGAGAAGAUUGAGGAGUGGUGGUUGAAACGAGCAGUGAUUUUAUCAGUCCUCACACUACACUUGAAAUUUAUUUGAAAAAAAAAGAUAUUCAAAGUCUUCUCCUUCACUUAAGUGAAUUAUUCAUUAGUCGAUUUAAGGCUCUAAUUAUUCAUUAAAAUGCAAGUAUGGCGUGAUGUAACUAUUCAUGAAAUGGUGAAGAAUAUUGUUAUUUACGUCUUAUUUAUUAAUUUAAAUGACUUCCAUCGACGUUCAUGAUUAUUUGCACAAUUCUCUUUGAAAUUUUUGUUAACAUCUAUAAGAAGUAUGAACAAUGGACACUCAAAUUUCAAAUUGCAAAAUGGCUAUAGCUCAAGCGAAAUAAAAUAAUAAAACAAAAUUCAUUGAUAUUUUUCUAAAUUUGAUAAGCCAAAGUAUUUGGUUCAUCGUUAUGAUUGGAAAUCACAUAAAUAAAUCAUAUGUUUAGAGGCAAAAGAAAAUCAAUGUCUCCAAAACUAUCUACAGUUUCAAGGAGUUGCUAAAACGUUUGAAUAAAAUGCAAUUACACACGAGUAGAGUUUUACAGAUGAUUAGAUUUUCGAAAAAGCAAAUCGAAGUCCUUUUGGUUGUUGCAGCAAUUCUGGUCUCUUUUUCUCUCAUCAUAAAGGAAAAAUAAAAGUGAACAAUGAUGCUGUGCCUGCAGUCAUUCUCAUUCAUGAUGAAGAAUUUAGUUUUAGCCUUUGUUCUUCUAGAAGCAUUAGUUCGGAGCGCCAAGUUUCUAGUUUCGAUAACUUGUUCGCCUGCUCUGGCUUCAUAUCUUGAAGUGGUGUUUUUUGCAACUGAGCUUCUGCCAUUCGAAUCUGCAAAUCCAAACAUGAGAACAAUGCAAGGAAAAUUAUCAAAAAGAUGUUGUAAUGCAUAAGACGGACUAAAGAAACUUGAAGAAAAAAACUCAAAUCUUUAGCUCUCAACAAAGCUACCCAUAAUUCACUAAAAGAAGUUUAUGUAAAUGGUAGCUUAGAUUGUUAUAAGCUUUGGCACUGAGUUCUAAUAUUGCAAAAACAGAUGAAUUUCUCAAACAAGUUGUACUUGCAUCAAGUACAAAUAACAUUAUAGGCUUUUGAAUCUUACAACUAGAUUUCUUCCCAACUAUGCUGAGACUAGGAAGAAGAUUCAUCAGGCACAGUGAAAAUGUUGGAAAGCAGACUUCCUUAUGAUUUUGAACUCAGAUUUUUCAUGGUUCUUAGCAUUAACAAAAGUAAUUUCGUCAAUUCGAACAUGAUGUGCUUUAAGAGGAAGCACUUUUCCUUUUAAAGGAAUCAGAGCUUUUUACUCAACGACAUAUAAAAAAGCUGAACAACUUCUACAUCUCUACAAAUAACAAACAACCACCAGAAUCAUCUACAAUAACCGUCUGAAAACUUAUCCCAAACCCCAACUAUAGUCUGGGGGGCUGUAACUAAUUUGGCAGUUAUAUAAUAUAUUCUUCCUGUACUAUUAACUGUAAAACUAGAACUAAUACUUAUACAACUAGGAAAGGAUGAGAAAGAAUUUCAAGAUUUCUCAAUGUUGGAUUUUUGAAACCUAAUCAUUCGUUAUGGACUCAUGUUUCCACCUCUUUAAUUUUUAGGGUCUAUCAACUUUGGUAACAAGACCUCGAAGUGGGAAGAUGCAAGAGGAAAGCAGACUGAGAACUUAUUGUAUGAGGUUGAAGCAUGACUAGGAUUUAUAUGGGAAGAUACGCAAUGGACUCCAUGGAGAUAACAAAAAGUUUCAGUGGUAGACCUGACUCAGUUGUUAUGAGAGAGAUAGUUAAGAACCAUGUAGAAGGAAACUCGCUUUGUUGGAAUUCUUUCCUUUUUUUUCUAGGCUUUUUCCUUGUUAGAAUCCUAGAAUAAUUAUGGAAAGAUUAUGGGAAUGUAUUCCUUAAUUUCCUAAAUCUUUUCCUUUUUUAUUCCAUUGUGUACUCUAUUUAUUCUCCCUUGUACCUAUUGCUUUAUUCAUUAGAAAAUAAUAACAACACAAACAAUCGUGGUUUUUCUCCCGGUACUCGGGUUUCCACGUAAAUUGGUGUGAACUCGUUGUCUCUCUUUUCAAUAUGGUAUCAGAGCGGGACAAUGAAAACACCCUAGAAACCCAAAAAAACCAAACCACUUAUGAAAAUCAAACAGAAGGGACAACCAUCAAUUUUAGUGCUGCCGUAGCUGCUGCCAUCGAUGCUCGGAUGAGUGCUGCCAUGGACGAAUUAUUAAGCCGGCUACAGAAAACGUCCGAAAAUAAUUUUCGUCAUUACCGCAGUCGUCCGCGCCGUCACCGGACCACCACGCGCCUGGUUUUCUUCCUCAGACGGCGCCGACCAUCCCAUCUGUCCAACCCUUUUCUUCGUCCGCGGCCUAUAUUGCUCCCCACGCCCCGAUUUAUGUUCUGCCAUCUAAUUCCAAUCGGCUACCAUCGCUUCUGCCGUCAAAUCUGUAUGGCCAGCCACCCAAUGAUCCUAGCUACCAUCCCGAUGUUAAAAACUCUCAAAUUCAUUCAACAUUUGAGGUUGGUGAAUCUUCGGCAUAUUCCAACCGUAACGUGCAAGCUUCCUUGGGAAUAGUUCAUCAACAAUUGGAAGGGCUUCGACAACAGAUAGCAGCACUUGAGGCUACCUUAGGGACGAUAUCCACUCUACCGAUGUAUUCUGAGAAUCCGGUAAACUCGUUCCCUAAUGUAUCCUCUCCUUAUGUGACUAAUACGGUGGCUCAGUCUUCCAUCCACUCUGCUGCUUUUAGUGCAAGAUCUUCUAACAGUAGCAGUGACAAGCAUAAUGGGAAACCAAUUCCUGUCUGCGAGCAUUGCAAAAAACAAUGGCAUACCAAAGAACAAUGUUGGAAGUUACAUGGUCGUCCCCCAGGAAGUAAGAAACGCCCUUCCAACGACAAACAGAACACAAGGCGGGCGUAUGUGAGUGCCAUUGUCCAAUCAGGUAUACCUCAUUCCUUCGGUCUUGUUAGUAUUGAUGGGAAGAACCCUGGAUUCUGGAUUCUGGUGCCACAGAUCAUUUGACUGGGUCCUCUGAACAUUUUGUAUCUUACACUCCUUGUGCUAGGAACGAGACAAUUAGAAUUGCAGAUGGCUCCUUGGUCCCCAUUGCUGGAAAGGGGAAGAUUUCUCCUUGUGCAGGGCUUUCCUUACAUAAUGUUUUGCAUGUGCCCAAACUAUCUUAUAAUUUGCUUUCGAUAAGCAAGAUCACUCAUGAGUUAAACUGCAAAGCAAUAUUCUUACCUGAUUCUGUCUCUUUUCAGGACUUGAGCUCGGGGAGGAUGAUUGGCACUGCCCGGCAUAGUAGGGGACUCUACCUCCUUGAUGACGAUACCUCUUCUAGUAGCAUUCCUAGGACUAGUCUCUUAUCUUCCUAUUUCACUACUUCUGAACAAGAUUGUAUGUUGUGGCAUUUUCGUUUAGGCCACCCUAAUUUUCAAUAUAUGAAACAUUUAUUUCCACAUCUCUUCUCUAAAGUUGAGAUGACUACCUUAUCUUGUGAUGUGUGUAUUCAGGCCAAACAACAUCGAGUCUCUUUUCCCUCACAACCAUACAAACCAACCCAACCCUUCACUCUUGUUCAUAGUGAUGUCUGGGGACCAUCCAAGAUAACAACCUCAUCUGGAAAACGGUGGUUCGUAACCUUCAUUGAUGAUCAUACCCGUCUUACCUGGGUCUACCUUAUCACUGAUAAAUCUGAGGUUUCCUCUAUGUUUCAAAAUUUCUAUCACACCAUUGAAACACAAUUCCAUCAAAAAAUUGCUAUUCUUCGGAGUGAUAAUGGUCGGGAAUUCCAAAACCAUAACCUUAGUGAAUUUCUUGCUUCCAAGGGGAUUGUUCAUCAAAACUCGUGCGCCUACACUCCUCAACAAAAUGGAGUGGCCGAGCGAAAAAACCGUCACCUUCUGGAAGUAGCCCGUUCCCUUAUGCUUUCUACUUCCCUUCCUUCAUACUUGUGGGGAGAUGCUAUUCUUACAGCAGCUCAUUUAAUCAAUAGAAUGCCUUCUCGUAUUCUUCAUCUUCAAACUCCCUUAGAUUGUCUUAAGGAGUCCUACCCAUCGACUCGUCAUGUUUCUGAGGUUCCUCUUCGUGUGUUUGGGUGUACCGCUUAUGUCCAUAAUUUUGGCCCUAAUCAAACCAAAUUUACCCCUCGGGCUCAGGCAUGUGUGUUUGUUGGGUAUCCCCCUCACCAGCGUGGUUAUAAAUGUUUUCACCCACCAUCCAGAAAAUACUUUGUCACUAUGGAUGUUACUUUCUGUGAGGAUCGACCCUACUUUCCCGUUAGCCAUCUUCAGGGGGAGAGUGUGAGUGAAGAGUCUAACAACACCUUUGAAUUCAUCGAACCCACUCCUAGUGUUGUGUCUAACAUCAUUCCUCAUUCCAUAGUCCUACCCACAAACCAAGUCCCCUGGAAAACGUACUACAGGAGGAAUCACAAAAAGGAAGUCGGUUCCCCUACUAGUCAGCCGCCGGCUCCAGUCCAAGACUCUGAACCUCCUCGAGAUCAAGGUAUGGAAAACCCUACUGAACCCUGUACUAAGAAUAUGAUAAGUGAGAAUGACAGGUCUAAUGUUGCUGUUCUUGAAAACGUGGAAGAAAAGGACAGUGGUGAUGAGAUUGAGGUCAGAAUAGAAACCCGUAAUAAUGAAGCGGAACAGGGUCAUACAGGAAAAUCAGAUGAGUAUGAUUCCUCUAUUGACAUUCCCAUUGCUCUGAGAAAAGGCACCAGGUCUUGUACUAAACACCCCAUUUGCAAUUAUGUUUCCUACGAGAAUCUCUCUCCUCAGUUCAGAGCUUUUACAGCAAGCCUUGACUCUACCAUAAUACCAAAAGAUAUCUACACUGCUUUAAAGUAUCCUGAAUGGAAGAAUGCUGUCAUGGAAGAGAUGAAAGCUCUUGAAAAGAAUAGUACUUGGGACAUUUGUACUCUACCUAAGGGACACAAAACUGUGGGAUGCAAAUGGGUGUUCUCUCUCAAAUACAAAGCUGAUGGUACUCUUGACAGACACAAGGCAAGGUUAGUUGCGAAGGGAUUUACUCAAACCUAUGGUAUUGACUAUUCAGAAACUUUUUCUCCAGUUGCUAAGUUGAAUACUAUUAGAGUUCUGUUAUCUGUUGCUGUGAACAAAGAUUGGCCUUUAUAUCAGCUGGAUGUUAAGAAUGCCUUUUUGAAUGGAGACCUCGUAGAGGAAGUCUACAUGAGCCCUCCGCCUGGAUUUGAAGCCCAGUUUGGUCAGCAUGUGUGUAAACUCCAGAAAUCUAUAUAUGGUCUGAAACAGUCUCCCAGAGCAUGGUUUGACAGAUUCACUACCUUUGUCAAGUCCCAAGGGUACAGGCAGGGACACUCUGAUCAUACUUUAUUUACAAAGGUUUCCAAAACAGGAAAGAUUGCUGUUCUAAUAGUUUAUGUGGAUGACAUUGUUUUGACUGGAGAUGAUCAGGCAGAAAUCAGUCAACUAAAGCAGAGAAUGGGCGAUGAGUUUGAAAUCAAGGAUUUGGGAAAUUUGAAAUAUUUCCUUGGAAUGGAGGUGGCCAGAUCUAAAGAAGGUAUCUCCGUAUCUCAAAGAAAAUACAUCCUUGAUUUGUUAACCGAGACAGGUAUGUUAGGAUGUCGUCCCACUGACACUCCUAUUGAAUUCAACUGCAAACUAGGAAACUCUGAUGAUCAAGUUCCAGUUGAUAAAGAACAGUAUCAACGCCUCGUGGGUAAAUUAAUUUACUUAUCUCAUACUCGUCCUGAUAUUUCCUUUGCUGUGAGUGUUGUCAGCCAGUUUAUGCAGACCCCUAAUGAGGAACACAUGAAAGCUGUCAACAGAAUCUUGAGAUACUUAAAAUCAACACCUGGUAAAGGGCUGAUGUUUAGAAAAACAGACAGAAAGACCAUUGAGGCAUACACUGACUCGGAUUGGGCAGGAUCUGUUGUUGACAGAAAAUCUACCUCUGGUUAUUGUACCUUUGUUUGGGGCAAUCUUGUAACUUGGAGGAGUAAGAAGCAAAGUGUUGUGGCCAGGAGCAGCGCUGAGGCUGAAUAUAGAGCUAUGAGUUUAGGAAUAUGUGAGGAAAUUUGGCUUCAGAAAGUUUUGACAGAUCUUCAUCAGGAAUGUGAGACACCAUUGAAGCUUUUCUGUGAUAAUAAAGCCGCUAUUAGUAUUGCUAACAACCCUGUUCAACAUGAUAGAACUAAACAUGUUGAGAUUGAUCGACAUUUUAUCAAAGAAAAACUUGACAGUGGGAGCAUAUGCAUUCCGUACAUCCCUUCGAGUCAACAGGUUGCUGAUGUUCUUACCAAAGGGCUUCUCAGACCAAACUUCGACUUCUGCGUUAGCAAGUUGGGCCUCAUUGAUAUUUACGUCCCAACUUGAGGGGGAGUGUUGGAAUUCUUUCCUUUUUUUCUAGGCUUUUUCCUUGUUAGAAUCCUAGAAUAAUUAUGGAAAGAUUAUGGGAAUGUAUUCCUUAUUUUCCUAAAUCUUUUCCUUUUUUAUUCCAUUGUGUACUCUAUUUAUUCUCCCUUGUACCUAUUGCUUUAUUCAUUAGAAAAUAAUAACAACACAAACAAUUGUGGUUUUUCUCCCGGUACUCGGGUUUCCACGUAAAUUGGUGUGAACUCGUUGUCUCUAUUUUCAAUAAUAUUAAAUCCUAGGGAGAUAGCCACUAUAGAUAAAACUCAUGAUCUCUUAGCCCUUUAUCAAGUCAUGUCCUCUAGAGGGACUUUAGUAUCAUAAAAGACUUUAUCAAGACAUUUAAACUUUGAACAUAAUUCAAAUAUUAUUAAACAUAUAUUUGCAUGCAAUGGAUUGACAGUUUUUCACGAGACUUUGAAGCAAAGAUGAUUAGCAAGAGUCUACCAUGGCAAAUUUGUUCUCACCUUCUUUUUAGUUGCUCUAAUUCUCUUGUCAAGGUCACUGGAAGGUAACUGUGGAUCAUCAAUUGGCUCAGAAGAAGGGCUUUCAACUUUCAGAUUGGUAGAAACAGAAAGUUCAUUCAUCUGGGAACUUAAUGACUGGAUGGGUUCCAACCUAUUAUCUACAUAUGCUUCCUUCGCUUCAGUGAUCUCUUCAACAACCACUUGUUCCAAGACUUUGUCCUUCUCAUGAGCUGCCUGGAGAAAAAGGAAAGUGAAGAAAAAAGCUUUUUGUUAGAAAAUAAAUAAACAGCUAUCCUUAGACUCUAAAUCAUGGUCAAGUUAGAACCAGCACAAAUAUAAAAAUAUAAACUCAACCCGUGAGUUAUUAUAUCAUAAGAUGCCUUUCUCAAAAAAACAAGGUUAAGUUGCAUACGGUAAAAUCCAAAGAUGCAGAUAAAAUAUCUUUCUAACUAUUGAUGUAGUAGGGACUAGUGGUUGAUUAAAUAUUAUCCUUGAUUAAUCCCAUUUAGUAUCUUUUCAUCAUUUUUAAUACUUUCCUUUGCCUUUGUUCACCAAUUGCUCACAUAUAUUCAUUACCAUUUUGAUUCAUAAUAAAGAUUUGAGAUGGAGUUAUUGGAGAGCACUCUCCUUUAGUCACUUAGGCUACACCAGCUACACCAACUAUUCAGAUAGAAAAGCAUGCCGAUUUGAAUACGGAUGAUCUUAUUCCCCAAGUGAUAAUGGGAGGAUAGAAGUCACAACCAUGGUCGAAAAUAGAUAAGAGAUAAAAAAAAGUAGUUUCUUAUAUAUUUACCUAUAUUUUGUCCUACAUUUUAUUGCAUAUGAACACUAAUGGCAAUCUUCAAUUUAUGGUCCUCCCAAAAAAAUUGUUCACGGGACAACUUAGAGAAUCCUAUAUGAAAACUAUCACAAGUUAAUUGUAGGUCUAAAAUAAAACUCUAGAACCUUUAGACUAUAUGCGACAACUCGACUCAAUUUCUGAAAACUCUAUUCCCAGAAGUUGCCAUGGUUUACUUGAGGCUAAUCAUCGCAGCCAUAUAUCAUUUGAACGAGUUUCACCAUCUGACUUUUUAAUGACACACAUGAGAUUCUAAGAUUCAGUUGACCAUAUUACCCAGGGAAAAGAAACAAAAAAUUAACUCCCAUUAAGAUCUUCAAAAGAAAUCCCCACAAUAUUUAAACUGUCAUCAGAAACAUAAAAUAUCCAUCCCAGCAAAGGGAAAGACAAACCUGCAGUCGCUUCUCUUUCUUUCUCUCAUUUCGCUUAGCUGACUUGGUCUUGGUUUUUACAUCUGUUGUCGGAGGUUCAUAGCCAGGAGGUCCAUCGUGCGAUGCCAUCUCCUUUUUCCACUGUAGCACACAGAAAAAAGGUAAUCCCAAUGAAUACCACAAUGAUGACUUCUAGGAUACACUAGUAUAGGAAUUAAACAUCUAGCAGAAAAAUAAUAGAAUGAAAUUGAUGUCUUUCACUUGAAUCAUCAAUUUUCCAGAACAUAUAUUAAAAUCUCUUUUGUUUAGAAUUGUAUCAGCCAAUCAUCAUCAUCUUACCGGAGAAAAAAAUUGACCCACAAAACUGUUGGUUUGGUUUCUCAAGAAGCCCUACUAGGGAAAAGGGAUCUAUAAUUAAGAAGAAUGAGACCUAACAAGUAACUAUUAUAAAAAAAAGGUGACACAGCAUCUAAGAUAAACAUUGAACAUAUUGAGGGGCCAUAUGUUGUUAAAGUCCCUCUCAACUUGUCUAAAGGUCCUACUGUUCCUCUUCCCCAUAGACUGCACAAAUGAGCACACUCCAAGAUUAAAUUUAAGCACAAAAAAAAAAGUCAAUGAGGGUGAUCUGCCUCAUUUUCAAUUUGUAUAUUGAAUUGUGGAUGAUGCAAGAAUUCCAAUGAGUCCUGUAUGAUGUAUAGGCCUCCUAUCGAGGGAGCCUGAUUAACAAGAGGCAGCUCAAGAGAUGUGAUUGUAGACUUAAGUUAUAUUGAAUCAACAAAAGUUAUAUUGAAUCAACAAGAGGCAUGUACAAUCUCUAUACUUCCUUUUCAUUAAAGAUAUAGGAAAUGUAUGGCAUAAAAAUGCUCAUAUCUUUGAUUAAAUUGUUAAAAAGGCACUUACUACACCAGUAUCAGCAAUAGCUCAACCUUUAAGUCACUCUCUACUUUCUCUAAGAAAUCAUGGGUUCAGAAGCCUCCAACCCACUCGUGAGGUAUUAUUUUCCGAAAAGGACUUUUAACUUCCAUUAUGUCAUAAUUUUCAUUUUUCACAGUACUAUUCCAUCACGAUUCAUGUACAUACAUAUUUUAUUUUACUUUUGUGCAUUUCCUCAAAUGAAAUGAUUGUCUAAUGUCAUGGGCUACUGUAUUGCACUCUGCUUUGCCCUUUGCUUCGUCCUUUACAACACACCAAAGUAAAAAUUAACACAACGGUAGCUCAAAGGGCGAUUUCAUUUUCCUAGUAUGAAUUUUCAUGAGCAAGGCACAAAGGGCAAACAAACUAUAUCUCAAUACAAAAGGAAGGAGAAACAACAGAGUGCAGGAAAAGAUGGAAAGAAGAUAAUGUAUGCGCAAGAGGCACACAUACCAGAGCCCCUUUGGACUGGUAAAUUGCGACUUCUUCUUGUGGAACAUAGCCGGCCCUAAUCCGAAUGGGUUUUCGAAGAGUACCAUCGGGUCGCCUUGUUGGUGCUAGAAUCCUUUCUCCUUCUUUUAGGGUUUUGCUCAGCUCCGUCAUUUGCUUGCACAGAUCUUCUCCACCUCCAUCACUACUCCCCAUCGCCUAAAAGGCAAUUAAUUGCUGAACUGCAAAAAUUCAAUAUCAUAUUCAAAAAAGAUUUCCACCUUAUUUUGUCAAUUACUCCAAACUGGAGCAAGUCAUGUACGAUGGCAAAAACUAAAAAGAGUUAUAUUCAAGGGAAAUGACAUGCUUCCUAAAUCCUAAGUGGUUAUUCUCUUAAGUGUCCAUUUGUAUUGGAAGUUUCUUAUAUCCAUUGAAGGCCUUAUGGAGGUUGAACCCAUAACGAUAACAAUGCUGACAUUAGCACAACAUCAACAAAAAACAUAGGCAUGUUCAAACCUUUUAUUCAAUUUCUAGAACUUCAUGACCUUUCAGUUCACUUCUAUCAUUUUGUAAUAACACAGAAAGAAAUCCUAAAAUAAAAAAUAAAAAAGCACAACCUAAUUCUGUAAUAAUAUACCAUCUUUGUGAAGAACUCACAAGAGUUUUUGUUAGGGACAUGAUGCAUAAUCAAAGAAAGAUAAGAUAUGAUAAAGUGAUCAAUCUAAAAUAACAAUUACCUGCUUGGCUAAUAAAAAACUUUAGUAAAGUAGACUAGUGGCAGAAACAAGAACUAACGAAAUAUGAAAACCCAUAAAUCCCCUUAUCAAUAAAAAAAUUGACACUGUAUUUUUUAAAAAGAAAAAAGAAUCAAGCCAAAAUAAAAAUAAGAAAAAAAAGCCUCUCUCUACCUUCCAGAAUUGAAAAAUCAAAACAAUAGAAAGCACAACUGCCAAACAGCCAAAGCAUAGUAAUAUGUAUGCAAAGAAAGAUUACGCACAUACAUUCCUCAAUAGCCAGCCAAAGCUUCUUCCCAAGGAUCCUAAGGAUCUACCCAUUCAUCAAUCCUGAAAAGUAAAGGAAACCAUCAUCAAAAUUCAAAUUACAAAUUUAAGAAAUGGAAAACGUUUUUUUAUAUAAAAAGUAAUGCUUAUUGCAGAGCAUUGAUAUCACUAAUUAAAAUAAAUAAAAAGAAAAUAUAUAUGUGAAGACGGACCAACAAAAUCAUCUUUGAUUAUGACGAGCAUAAGGGCUUUACUUGACACAUAGAUAACGUGAGAUAACUUUGAUUGUUUGCAACCCCCAUAUGACAUAACCAUAGAAUUUUUUAAAUUCUCACUCCUCAUUUUGAAUAGUAUAGAAUAUUUUGCCAUACAAAUAAAAAAAGAAAAACUAUACAUAAUUGAAAGAUGAAAAAGAAAAAAGUUAGUAACAAGCUUUGCAGUUUGAGGAAAAUAAGCUCAAAACCUAGCAUUAUGUUCUGCAUCAAUUCAAAACAGUAUCAUGCUGAUUUGCUUCCAUAAUAUGCAACAUCAAAUAGGCUCUUGAACCCUAUACUUUCUUGCAUGCUCACCAAUCUUAAUCAAGCUACUAAUAAAACUAAAACUUGAAGGGGAAAAAACCCUAAACCCUAUCAUAUGUAACAUCCAAUAGGCUCUUCAUAUUUUUGUUAGUUCUUGUUUUCAGGAUUGAUGAAUGCUUGCUUACCUUUAUGCAUGGGCUCCCCCUCCUCUUUUUUCAGGUUUCUAUGUAUCUAUCAUGGCCCUCUCCUGCUUUUGAUAUAUCAUUCAGCAAUGAACUGUUUCUUAUCCAAAAAAGGGGGAAAACCUCAUAUCCUCAACAACUCAUCCUUCAAUUUCAUACAAAAACACGUAAUUGUUCAGAUCAUUCACUAGUUUUGAAGGACUUGUACACUAAAACCAUUCUUCCUGUUACACUCUCACUUUAGACUCUUAUUAAAAAUGAGAAAUUUUUUGUAUCUAAAUUUUGAUUUUUUCAGUAUAAUUUAAGUUAAAAUAAAUCAGAACACGAAUUGCAAACAUAAGUACAUCCAACAUUUCUUUCACCUAGGGGUAUUUGGCCCAAAAGAGGGAGUUCAGACGAAAAUUGCAAACUCCACACCUAGUUUGGCCCAUGAAGCUGCGGGAAAGAGUUAGAGAGAACAACGUGACAGAGAGAAGGAACAGAAGAGAAAAAAGACUUACCGGCAUCGUUCGGCGGCAGUCGUCGUCGUCGUCCGGUAGAGGAGGUUGCGGCGGCGCUGGUGUGAAGAGACGGGCGAAGAGACGCACGCGGUGGCGGUGGCGGUUGAAGAAGGAAAACUUUUAUGUACUUUUUGUUAUUUUUUUUUAACCUAGUUGACUUAGUCAAACAUCAUACUUUUAGGCCUCUUUAGGCCCAAUUUCAAUUACUAAAGAGCCCAACCAAAUAUGAUUUUGGGAAUUGGAUUGAAAGCCCAAAUUUUGGGAAGUGGGUUGGAAUGAAUUAAUAACUAUAAGUUUUAUACUUAUUAAUGUUCGAGCAAGGGUGCACCUCCACUCAUCUCAACACACAAGAUUCAAUGUCCAACUGGGCUCAAACGGUUGAUUUGUAGGUUGGUUUUAAGUGUACUUUAGGUUUUUAUGAGAUGACCUGCAUGCUCGUUCGUAUUUGGAUUUAACAUUUUAAACCUGAUUUGUAAUAAAUAAACUCAUUAUGUUCUCAUAGUUUCAACUUAACCAUUUAGCUUUUUCACUUCACAAUCUCAUUUCUACUUUGCACCCCUCAAAUUUACAGCAAUUAAUUUGAUUACAAUUCUCGUUCUGCUUCGUUCUUAAUUACUAAUGCAUUUCAAUAUCCCUUAGAUUCUCAGUAAUCUUCAAGAAAAGAAAGAAGCGCAAGAGACAAUCAUAACUUUUUCUUCUUACUAUUUUAAAUUUUAACCAAAUAAAAGGUUUGUUUUUUCUUUUAAAAAAAAGUGAAUACUCAUUCAAAAUGUUAUUAAAGUAUAUAAGAAAUUUAUUAGUAAAAUAUAAGCAAUAAUUCAAAAUGUAAUUUCAAGUAUAUAUUGUUAGUAUAUUAGUAGUUUAUUAUUAGCACUCAUUCAAAUUUUCUUUAAAGUAUGAGAUUAGGUUAGGGUAUCAAUAUUGUAUCUACCCAUUGAAAACAAUAUUAUAGCAUUAGUGUUUUUUCAACAGUUUCGAAAGUCCCAUGAAACACAUAAGGAAAAUGCUUCACAUAGACAAAAAAAAAUAGAGUUAAUUCUAAAAGAGUGAAAUGGUUAUCUAACGAACCUAUUAACUUCUCAUUCAACACGCCACAAUUUUUUGUAAACUUCUACAUCAUUUGUUGUAGUUAUGUCUUUGGUCUUAUAAAAGCCUUUGUUGUUAUUUUUAUUUUUAUGCACAAGAUUUGGCUUGACCAACUUUACUACAUAGAGAUUCUGGAGGCUUCAACCCGGCUUCAGUCAUCUCUUUAAGUAAACGUUUCGCCUCAAUUGACUUCCCGUCCUUGCAAAGGAUUUGAAUGGUGGAAAUAUAACUAGCCACAUUUGGAGUUACUCCAUUUUUAACCAUCUCUUCAAGAAACUUUAAGGCCUUGUAGGAGUUGCACUCUUUGCAGUACCCAUUUAUCAUUGUAUUAUAGAUAACAUCAUUAGGCUGUAGAUGCAUCUCUACCAUUGAUUUGUAUAGUUUUGAUGCCUCAACCAUAUUACCUUUUAUACACAAACCAUGGAUUAGGACACCAUAGGUAUGCUGAUCUGGGACCAAACCAAUUCUCUUCAUGAGAUGAAACAUCUCAUAGGCUUUCUCUAUAUCAUCAGAUCGAACAAACGUAUUCAUCAAAAUUGUAUACGUCACUUUCGAGGGAGAAAUUCCUCUGUCCUCCAUCUCCCUCACUAACUCUGAAACUACAGAAGAAUUUCCUACUUUAGAGAAACCUGAAAUUAAAAUAUUGUAGGUCACUAGAGUUGGACAUAAACCAAUCAACUUCAGUUUUUCGAGAUAACUUAAGGCCUUGUCCAACUGUCCAGUGUUACACAACCCAUCCAUCAACAUGUUAAAUGUUCUAGUAGUUGGAUUUAUAUGAGCUCGUUUCAUUCGUUCUAACAAUCCUUCUGCUUUCGACACUUGUCCCUUCCGGCAUAACCCACCUAUUAGAAUAUUGUAUGUGACUGCAUUACAUGCCACCCCUCUUUUAGAUAUUUCAUCAAAUACCUUAAAGGCAAGGCUCAAUUUUCCAUCCCUACAAUAUUCAGUAAUGAGACUGUUGUAAGUAUAUAAAUUGGGAAGCACCCCCACAAGCUUCAUCUUCUGGUAAAGCUCAAAACCAUCCUUCUUGUAACCUUUCUUGAAAAAUCCAUUGAUCAUGAUAGUAUAAAUAUAUUGGUUAGCAGCCAAACCAAGGUCAUCCAUCCUAGAAAACAUUACUUUAGCUUGAUCAAUGUCACCAUUUCUGCAACAAGCUUCAAUCAAGAUAGUGUAUAUAAAAACAUUAGGAGACACACCCAUCGUCUCCAUUUGAGCCAAAAGCUCAAAGCCUUUACUUACAUUGCCAUUUUCACAAAAGGCUUUAAUCGUAAUCCCAAAACUAUACACAUCAAACUGAGUCCUCCCCAAAUAUUCAGUGAAAAACCCCCAAGUUCUAUCCAGAUUCCCUGAUUUAGCAAGUAAAUCCAAUGCAUUAUUGAAAGAGAAAGAACUCGGAGAAUGCCCUUUAAGGACCAUUAGUUUAAAACUAUCAAGGGAUUGUUCUAAUAGUUGAGACUGAAAAGAAGCAUUGAUAACUGCAUCACGGGGACGACCACAAACAGAUUCAGAAUUCAGAUUUCGUUGUGUUGAAGAAAUAGUGAAGAAAUAUGAGGUGAUCCGAUUAGAAAGAAAUGGGUACACGAAGCCAAUAGAUUUGGGCACCAUAAAUACGAGAAUAAAUCAGGAACUAAGAAUUAUAUAUGAACAAGACAAAAUCUAACAAAGAAAAGAAGGGAAUAAAAAGACUUGGGAUUUCUGUAGCAAUUUCUCAAAAAUGCUAUAACAAACUUCUAUGAAACUUACCAAACUCUAACACAAAACCAAAAUCAUCGGCGGGCAUUAGAUAUUUAAAUAGAGAGAGAACGAGUGGAGGAGACGGUAGACUUACCGGCGGCAAUUGUUGUACGGUGUGGGUGUUAUAGCGCGCUGAGGUGACUGAAGAAGAAGGAGACGGGGGCGAGAGGUAGAGUGAGGAAAAAGAAAACGAGGACUCAAACACCAAACUUUCAGCCCAUCUUUUAGGCCCAAUUUCUCCCAAACUCUAAUUUAAUAAGCCCACAAAGCCCAAACAAAACUAAAUCAAUAUAUAUAUUCUUUUUUUGUGCAUAGGAAGAUUAAACCACUAAUUUAAAUGUGAAAAUAAAACAAAAUCAUAGCAUACUAGGAGCUUAGCCAAAAUCAAAACAUUACAAACUUUGUAGAUCCAAAAAUCGUGUUAAUUUAAUAAGACAUUUGUGUGAUCGAGUUAAAUACUUUACUAUCUCUAAUUCAAAACGUUCUAAUAGUGUUAAUCGUCUUUUUCUUUAUAAAUCCACGAUUGUAUGUGUCUUGAGAUAGAAAACCUAAGCUUAGUUGGAUCAUAGGAUAAGUUUGAUAAUCGGAAAGAAAAACCCUACAAUAAAGUUUUAAAUCAAAAUCCCAACAUUUAAUCCUUGAAGUCUAAAUUGAAAAAGAAAAACAAAAAAAUAUAAAUCUCCAUUGCUAAGUGCAAUAAAUUAUUUGCCUGCCUCCUUCCUAUUAUUCAAUCUGCUUUGAGGUAUACUUUUCUUAUAUACACAUACUCUAUACUCUCUUCUUCUUCUCUCUCUCUUUGAUUUAUCUAAAAUAUUAUGAUAUUGUUAUUGUUAUUAUUUAUAUCAUGAGAUGUUCCUUUGAGAAAGUUGAUGCAUAGCUUCUUCCAUGCCUCUCUCUCUGGCUCUCCAUCUUCCACUUUAACCUUCAACUCUUUCGCAUAUGUUUCCUAUACAAAAACAAUUUAAUUACAUCAUUAAUGAAAAAAAGAGUUUGAUACUAUUUUGGAGAUUUUUUCAUUUUCGGGAUGGUAUCUUUCUAGGGUUUAGAUUUUGGAACUAGUUUCUAUUUGGUGUCUAAGUGUUUGAAAAUGUUGCAUAUUUAGUUCGUUUGAGUUUAACUUCAAAUUUAGUGUUUAGGUUUUAUUAUUAAUGUUUGUUCUAGAUUUUUGUGUUUUGUUCCCAUUGGAAACCCUAUAUUUCAAGGUAUACAAAUACAUAAUUCAUGAAAAAUAGCAAUUCAUUACAAUUCUUGUCACUAAAAUCGAAGUUAUUUUAAUACUUAUGAACAAGUGAAAACAAAACUUAAUUUUAGGGUGAAUCUUUUGGAACCUACAAACUAGAUUAGAAGAACUAAAACCAAAACUAACAAUUUUGAAACUUGGAAACUAAACUUAUAAUCUUGAAGAUUACACUCAUGAGUCGUUCACUUAUUUGUCUGAAAAAGUUUGUAGUCUACGUUUUAAAAACUUGAAUUUCAUAUCGUUUUAACUUCUUACAAUGUAGGUCGGUUUUAUGAUAAACAACUUUUUUUAUAGAGUUUUCAACUUUGUAUACCUAGCAACGUAACUCCUCUUCUUACCCUCAAACAAGAAGGUAAACUAGCUUUUAACUAGGUGCAAUAACCUAAUAUUUUGAAUAAUUAAUAUGUGUCAAUAAUUCAUAAAUCUAUAAAAUUUAUAUCAAAACGAUCAAACGUUGAGCAUACCAUGAUGAGAUUAUGUUGGACAAGACGGUCGAUAAGGUGCAAAAGAAUGUCCAUAGUGUACUCGGGAUGGCCUUGGAUUCCCAUCAUGUGAUCUCCAUACUUGAACAUUUCGAUUCUCGUCUUUUCUGACCAUCCGAUCACUUCAGCCUUUAACGGAAGUUCCCGAACCUACAAAAUUUUUCAUACAUCACACCGUAUUGGAUCAUGAUCAGGCUGAGAAGUUGUAAUGUGGGAGCGAGUUUACUUAACAAAUAUACAUACCUCAUCUCGAUGACACUCGAUUAUCGAUAACGUUAAUGGGAUCUUUAAUGAUGAUAAGGCUUUUGAGCUAGAUUGUGACACGUGUAUGGCCCUGAUUCCAAUGUCCCAUCCUGAGGUUGCCCUACCCGUCUUUCCUCCCAAUGCACGACACAAAAUCUACAUGUGACAGUAAUCAACUCUACGUUAUUACAUUUUUUAGGAACUUACACAAAUAACAUCAAUUUUCCAUUUUAUUUUCAUAAAAUUAAAUUUUUUAAAUUAAUUUUAGUAACUUUAUUGUAUUUUUAUAUUUGGUACUUAUAUUUUCCAUGAAUCUAAUAUUUUGUUUCUUUAAGGUUCAUUUUUAAUGAUAUUUAAUAAUAUUCAUUUAAGAAAAUAAUAUAUUUUGAAUAUAUUUUCAAAAUUUACAAUAAAAAAUAACAAAUAUAACAAUAAUCAUUAAAAAAAAACAAAGUCAAUCAAUUAGGAAGUUAGGAAUGUACCAAAAUGAUAUUUUAACCAUAAAAGUACUCAAUCUAAAAUUACUAAUUGAAAAUUUAAAAGGAAAAAUAAAUCUAAACAUGGCUAAAUGACAUUAAUUGUUAAUUAUUAUGAUGAUUAAACCUCUUUUAAUUACAACCAUUAGAUUUAAAAAAUAACAUUAAUGUAUAUGCAUAUGUAUGUAUGUAUAUUUAGGAAAUUAAAGAGAACUAUCCUCCAAAUCUAAACUUUCAAAACUUAUACCAUUAAGACAAUAAGACAACUUAAUAAGCUUAUAAUAUGAAUUGGAUGACACCUAGAAAAAUAAAAAAAAAUAUACUUAUAAUAUUUCUUUUAAGAAACAAAGAAAAAACUAUUAUAUAAACAAAGAGAUAUUGGAUGACAAGAAAAUGGAUAUGAAAAUACAAAUUGGAUUGCACCCAAAAUUGGCUUUUUCUCUGCUUUAUAUUCUUUCUUAUAUAUUACCCCUAAUAUUUGUUUUGAUUCACUGUAUAUAUCUUAGCCAAUUGAAAUAUAAUAGAAAAUAUAAACGGAUGCAUUCGCCGAGUUUAGACCCUAACUUGAUGUAGCAUGACCCAAACAUAACCUUUUAACAUGUAAUGCCUUUAUCAUUUUGUUUUCAAUUUUCUACUCGUUUAUUUAAAAUUUAUUUUGUGAAACAGUUACAAAUAUAAUCAGGAGAAAAAUAUUAGCAUAUCUAGUAAUAUUUUAAAUAAAUAAAAAAUAUAAUAAUAAAAUCUAUUGAGAUUGAUAGACUAUUGAUUAUAUCCUUAGAAGUCUAUCACAUAUUGAUAUAAAUCAUUGAUAGACAACACUUAGAUUAUCAUCCACGAAAUUGAAUAUAUAUAUCAAAUGAAACACACGUCGUGCCAACUAAUUUCCACCAUGUUUUGUCUUUUGAGAUAAAGUGAUGUUUUUGGGCACGUGCUUAGUUGGAUGAGAAUUUAUAUUCAUCAAAAGGGUUAUUAAUAUAUAUAUAUAUAUAAUUAAUGCUUGAAAACUUGAAAUUCAACCAUAAAAAAAAAAAAGAAAAAAAAACUAUACUCAAAUUGCUGAAUACAUUAUUACUAUUGGAAUAUGAAGUACAAAAUUCCCCCAACUUAGACCAACCAAAUUAGGAGUCAAUGAACUAUCUUCAAAAAGAAAAUAACUUCGAAAGAUUUUAAAAAAGAAAAAUAGUACAUAGAGAGAUUAACUCAAAAUUCAUAAUUCUAUCACUUAUUUCAAAUUCAAUUUUGGCAUAAAGUUUCAGUCAAUUAAUUUAUUGCAGAAGUAAAGAAUAAAACUCUUAUAUAUAUAUGUAGAUAGAUAGAUAGAUAUUCAUGAGAAUAAUUCAUUAUAUAGUUUGUCUCUUUCUCUUGUACUAAAGAAAAAACAAAAGAAAGAAAGAAAAGUCUCUUUCUGCAUAUGACCAUUUAACAAUAAAUUAUGAUUAAAUACCUAAUUAAAGGCUUUUUCUAAAGAGAAUUAAAUACUUUAUUUUUAUUGGUGAAGAAUUUAGCUUAGCUAUAUAUAUAUAUAUAUUUAUAUAAUGUGUGCAUGUAAUGUAAUGUAAUGUAAUGUGUGCAAAAAAGGUACACCUACUCUCAUUGGGGAAAUGACCCAUGAUCCACCCACAUGGUUUAUGUCUAUUCAUUUCUACUAUUUUCUUUUUAUAAUUUUCCAAUUUUCCAUUAUCCUUUUUACAUGGAGUUUUGUGAAAAUUUGUCAUUCUUGCUUUGUAAAUAUUCAACUUUUUUUUUUUUUAAUUUGAAAAAAAUUGUAGUGUUUGUUUGGUAAAAAAUGAUCAUACAAAAGUGUGUUUUGAUUAAGCUAUAAAGACUACAAUUAAACAUAUUGUUACAAUUAGUGUCUUUUCUUUUGUUGAUAAUAAUUAAUAUAUCUAUUUUACUCUAAGUUAAUUGUUUAAGAAUUUAUAUGAUUUUUUCUUUAGAAAGUUGGGGUUUAAAAGAUGUUCAAAUUACCUAAUUUUCCACCUAAGAGAAAAUUUGCGGCUUCAAAAAGCCUCAAAUUUACUCAAACAAUAUAUAUCAAAUAAUUUUAAAAUAUAUAGUUUUUGAAAGUUAAUACAAUUCAGUAAUUAUGGUAAAUAUAUAUACAAUACAAAAGAGGGGAAAAAAGAAAAAACGUAAAACAAUGUAUUGAUUAAUGACAUUAACAAAAAUUUAAUGACGUGUAAAAAAUUUAUUACUUUCAUUUAUUAUUUAUUGACCAUCUUAUUUUAUAAUUUUCAAUAGUAUCACUAAUUAAUAAUAAUUUUCACUUCAUUCUACUUGAUCAAUUUGAAACUAAUAUUUUUUUUUUUUUUUUUGAAAUUUUGUUCUUCAAUUCAAAAGUAGUCAAUUCAUUCCACAAGAAUAUUGACUCAUACAAGUUUUCUGCCAUUCAAACAAAAACUUUAUAGAUUUAAAUCUACAAUAUCACAAUAUCACUAACAUAUUUCUAGUCAAUUGAGAAUUAUAUUCUUACAUUAUUCUUUUUUUAUUUAAAUUAAAUCUAUAGUAUUAUUACUAUUUAAGUCCAUUUAAUUAUUCUUUUUAACUCUCUUUUUGAGACAGAAAAUAUCAAUUAUAAACCUAAACCUAAAGUUCAGCACUAUCCAUUUAAAUCAUAUAAACUAGUAAUUUUACAAUGUUAUAUCCAUUUAAUUAGUUUUAAAUGAAUAGAUAUAUCAAAUUAGAUAUCUUUAUAAAUUUUUAAAGUCUAAUUUGAUAUAAUUAUAAAGUUUAAAGUUUAAAUUGAUAUAAUUAUUAAUUUAUAAUUAAAAUGAGAAAAGUGUGCUCCUAUCGAACAUAGGCACAAUCCAUUUUCGGCUUUUUUUUUGUUUUGUUCUGUUUAAUUUCGUCGAAUAAAUAAAAUAAAUUAUUUUCAUCCCACAAGAUUCCUUGUCACCCACUAAUUUUUUUCUCUUUAUUUUUCCAAUAAAUAAAAAAAAAUAACCAUUACCAAAAUCAUCAAACUCUACCUUUCUAUUUCCAUUCCAAUUUCUUACAAUUUGUUUGUUUUCUUUUUAUCUAUAAUUAUCAUCUUCUCAACCAAAGAACAACCACAACUCUACAUUAUAGAAUCAAAGAAAUUAGUAGGAUGUGGAAACAACUGAUCAAAUUCCAUGCAACUGAUUUUAACUAUAAUAUAUUGAAAAACUUUUAUCUAUAUAAGAUGAUCAUCAUCAUCUUCUUAUUCUUAUAAUUCAUCUUCCAUUUUCAACCACUAAAUAUUCAACAAUGAUGAUGCUGAUGAGAUCAUAGCAUUUAAUAACCAUUAAUGACAAGAAUUUAUAGCCAUAGCCCAAAAAAAAUAAUAGCUGUAACGAUUUAAUUUUACGUACCUGAUGGCCGAAGCAAAUUCCGAGGACUUUCUUCUUCAAGGCGUUCAACUUCUUUAACAAAAGAAGGAGCUGGCAGAUCCAAGGGUCAUUAGAAUGGGCGUCACUACAGCUUCCGGUGACGACGAAACCGUCGUAAAUCCCGAUAUCGGCAUCGUCGGGGAAAUGACCGGCGGUGACUCUGUAUGAGUCCCAAAUUUCGCCUUCUUCACCCAACAUUUUAACGAAGACCCCAAAGUACCCUCCGUGUUUCUUUUUGACGUACUCUGGAUCCUCUGCACACAGAAGCACGGCAAAUCGCUUUCCCACCAUUUUUUCCGGCCGGCGAGGUUUCUCUCUCUAGGAUUUUAGAGAGAGAGAGAGGGAGAGGAAGAGAGUUUUUUUUUUUUUUGUGUAUAAUUUUGUUUUCAAAUUGAUUGCAUGCUUUUAGGGUGGGAAUGGAGAGAGGGUUGAGAUUUUAUACGGAGAAGUUACCUAAAAGGGCAGGUGUUUUUGGGGUUUUUUACCAUUUUGCCACAACAUUUUUGUUAAUUUAGAGAGAUUUAUUUUUUUUCUCUUUUCCAACACAGCUAUAUAUUCAAUAUUUACAACUUUCAUUUGCUUAAUUAUUAUCCUAUUUGAGUUUAUAGUUCUUAAUUUUGUUUGUAAAAAAAGAAAAAAGAAACUCUCAUCUUGUGUUAUGAUCGGAAAUUAAUUAGGGUUUUUGAAGUGAAUGUGUGUUCUCUUGGGUUGAAUUUUAUUUUCGAAUUAAUUUAUAGAGAAAUUGUCUCGUAUGAAAUUUUUUUAUAUAAAAAACAGGCAAGCAUCGUUUUCUUUUAUAUAUAAAUUGUGUGACAAAUAUGACAAGUAAUUAAUGUUAUCAGAUGUUGUUCGUUUUUAAAUUUGUUUCUUUUGCAAUUUAGAAAAUGUCGUGACAUGUGCACUAUAAUCAUAAUUUCAAAUCAAUUUAAAGGAUUCAAGUUAUUUGUAUUUAUACAUUAUAAAAAUUGUUAACUUUUGAGUAUAACUCAACUAUAGUUAAAGACACGUUAUUGAUCUUCAAAAAUUUAUGUUCAUCUUCGAAAAAAAGUAGCUAUAAUUUAUGUUGACGUAACUAAUCAAAAUUUAAAUAUAUUUUAUGGGUAUUUAUAAGACGUGUAUUAGAGAUAUUGAUAAAUAUUCUUUAAUAUCAAUGUCAAACUCUUUUUAAUUAUAAAUAUUUCAACUUACAAAUGAACGUUUUAAUUCUACUUAUAAAGUUAUAGUAAUUGAGAUCAUAACAUUAAUAUAUAUUUAAUUGUUUAUACAUUUUUUUUAACAAAACCGUAAUACAAUUUACUUUUAAGUUAAAUAUUUAAAUCUCCAAACCUAACAUCAUGCAAUUAAUAAAGGAAAUUAAUCAAUUUGAAUAUAUAUAUAUAUAUUAUUUGUAAAGAGAACUUAACUGUAUGAAUUAUAUUUGCAAAUAUAACAAUAUUAUAUUAAAAUUUAAAAAACAAUUAAAUUUAUGAAUAUUUGCAAAUAUCCUAAUUAGGUCAAAAGUAAAAGUAUUAAUAAAUAUAGCAUAAAUUGAUUAAAAGAAAAAUUUAGAUAAAGCAAAAUUUAAAUACAAGGUUUCAAGUCGAUCAACGAUAGACUUCUUUACUACUGCUAGAAUUAUCAACAAUAAAAUAAAGAGUUAAUGGUGGAAAAUAAAAAGUUAUUCACAAAUUAUCAAAUUUUAAAUACCGAGGUUGAAGUUCAAUUAGUAUCGUUAUUUUACACGCUUAAUUAAAAAUGUUAUAUUAUACACUUAAUUAUGGAUUCUAAAUACACGUUAGUAUUAAUUAAAUUUUGAGUUGGUAACCCUACCAACUACUUAUCAACCAAAUUAAAUUUAGAUUCACACAACCCCACAUUUUUUAAAAGAAAACUAUAUGAAAUACACAAACUUUAAUUUCCUCCCUCAUUAAAAUAGCAUUUAAAAGAAAUGAAUGCAUAAAAAGUAAAAUUAGAAGCUAUAAAUUAUGAAAUUAUAUCAUGAGACAAAAUUGUCUCUCCAUACAAUUUGUUAUUACAUUUUUGGUAGUUUUAAAUGUAUUAAAUUUGUCCCCUAACACAAUGUUAUGUAUAUAAGAAGAAAGUGAAAAUAAUGAACAAAUUUAUAACCUAAAGUUAUUGAAGGUACCAAAGUAAUUAAUUAAUUCACAAUACCUUAUUUAUAUAUUUAUUUACUUUAAUUCCUUCUCUUUUUAAUUUCUUCACUCUUUGCUUAUAAAUUUCAUGAAAAAUAUUUAUAAAUAUGAAUAAAAAGAAUUAAAGAAAGAAUGUAAAAGAGAAAUUAAAUAUGGUCCAAAUUUAAAAGAAUAUCUCUAGCUAUGUUACCUAAUUAUAACCUUUAAUUUAUAUCUUGAUUUGGUGAUGAUUCACUCAAAGAUAUUGUUGAUUAACAAUUAAAUAAGUAAUAUAGUUAUAUAAAACUCAUUUUCUUCAUUGUGAAAGAAAAUGUAUAUUAUUAUUUGAUGAUAAAAUUAAAAACAUAUAUCUAUUUUAUAUUCUAUACAUUUCUUUUUUAUAGAUUAAUUACUCGAGUCUUUUUUUUUUCAAUAAUAAUAGAAAAACAAAGUUGUUUUUUAAAAUUAUAUAUCAUUAAUUGUAAUCUUUUAUAUUUCUUCAAUGUAAUGCAAAGACAUUUAAAUUACGAACUUUGGUGUCUAAUAGGUUAAAAAAAUAUGUGUUUCCAUACAAAUUAAAAAUUUAUAAUUCAUGUAUGAUAAAUUCCUAGCCAGUUAAAUUUAUCUUACUACAUUAAAUUCAAAAUUGAAAGUCUAAGUCUAACUUUUAAAUAAAAUCAAAAUUUUAGAGUCAAAAUGUAAGUAAGUUAAAAAAAAUACAUUAAGGAGAAAUAAUACUUAAUGCAUUAUGGACAUCGCUGAUAAUUAGUACCUCUAACUAAACUGUUUCGUCAAACUUUUUAUUUUUUUCUUAUUUCUUGCACUAAUAUUUUAAUUAUUUGUUCAAUGUGUAUGAUGAGAAGAAGAUAUCUCAAAAUACAUUUUGAUAUUACUCGAAUGUUAGGGCUGAAUUUUUGAUUAUGUAUGGAGAUAUAUUUAAAUAGAGUUGGAAUAAGAAGUAAAUAUAUAUAUAUAUGAAUAUGAAAUAAAUUGAUAUAAUAUGGGAAAGAAGAAAGAAAAAAGAAAAAUGGUUAAGUCAACAAAAUAGCAAAUUAAAUUGGAAAAUAGAAAAAUAUCAAUCCUACAAAGAUUGUAUGGUUAAGGUGUCUCUCUCAUAAAACGUCGGUGGAUUUAAUUCCCAUGAGUUAUAUAUAUAUUUAUAUGGAUUUAGUAACUAUUUCAUAUUUUGUUUUUUUUAUUUAUCUUUAAUUUUUAGAAAUUAAGUAUUUUAAUUUAUUUAUCAAAGAUUGGUCUUUUUGUUCUAAGUAUAAAAGUUGAAUUAUUUACCCUAAUUUUUUAGUAAUUAUUAAUUAGGGUCUAUUUCAUAAACUAUUUGUUUUCUGUUUUUAGUUUCUAAGAAAAUGGGCGUGCAUUUGGUAAUUAAUUUUUUAAAAUUUUAAAACAAGAAUUUCUUUUUAAAUUACAAAAGAAAAUUUAAAAAUGAAAAAAAAGCUUUUGUUUUUAAAUUAGUUACCAAUCUUUUCAGUAAAGAAAAAUUUGAAAACACAAUUUAAAAAACAGAAACAAAACAACGAAUUGAAAUGAUUACUAAAGACAGUUUUAGUUUUUUGUUUUUAAAAAUUAAAUUUAUAAAACGCUACUUUCACUUCAAAAAUAUUAUUUUACAUUUUCAAAACCAACUCAAAAUUUAAAAAGUAAGAAACUAAUUAUUUAUUUUACUUUUUAAAUAUAACGAACCAUUCAAAUCUCUUAACGAAAUUUGCUUAAUUUCUAAAAAAAAAAACAAAAAGUAAAAUAUACAUCUUCGAUUUUUUUUAACUAUUGGUAAAAUGUAGAUAACAAAUAAAAAAGAAUAGAGGGGAUGGAUAUUAAUUUUAAGGCUAAUUUUUAAAAAUGUAGAAAAAUUAAAUAGUUACCAAAAUAUGCAUAAUAGUCGGUUUAUAAUCAUUUCUUUUCAUAACUAUUUAUGUUAUAUAUUUAUCCUUCGUUAUCCCGAAAACGUUCUUCAUCUCCUCGACCCUUUUUUAAAGAAAAAAUGAAGAAGAAAAGUUAGAAAAUGAAUGUGGUUGUAUUGUUGGGGAAGAUGUGAAUCAUGGAAUGAAUAUGAUUCAUCAUCUUUAACAAAAUUAAGUUUUAGUAAUUCAACACAACUCUCUUUCCUUUUCUUUUUCUCUCUUUCUUUCUUUCUUUUCUCCCCCAAAAACAACUCAUUUUAUUUGCCAAAUCCUCAACUGUUAGCCAUUUUAUUGGCAAAGUGCUUUACACGAUUGCCCAAUAUCAAUUUGGUUUUCCAAUAAUCACUCAAUCUCUCUUCUUCUUCUUCUUUGUAUCACACUCAAUCAUCACUACCUUCCCUUCUCCUUUUUAUUAUUGGUUUUCAAACGUUAUUCCACAUCCUUUUUUUUUCUUUAAAAGUAUUAUUAUUUUUAGUUACGUUACGUUGAAAAUAUUGGAUCUCAUCUAUGAUUGUCGUUUUUCUGUGUUUUUGUAUUCGUAUAUAUUAACAUGUGGAACUCAUUUUCAAAAUUCGUUAUGAAACAUGCAAAUUGAUUAAGGAGUGGAGGGUGAUUAGUAUAAUCUCAUUGUGUGUUUGAAAAUUACAUUAAACUCACUACCUAUCAUUUCUGCUAUUAAUAUUAUAACUAUUGUUACAAUAUGAUAGUAUAAUUAUGGAUUUUACUCACAUUUAUUAUUGUUAACGUUUCUACAAACAUUAAUUAGGUAUUGUAAAAGAUAAACGUGACAAAUUUAUAACAAUAAUUAGUAAACAUGAUUAAAAAAAAAAAAAAUAAGUCCACCAAUUUUAAUUAUGAAUUAGUAAGCGUGACCUUAGUCCAAAGCUUUGAAAUUUUGCUAACGAUAUAGCACAAUGAAGAUUCAAUAUUAUAGCGUUAUUAUAACACAAUUAUACAUUUAACUUUUUUUUAUUGAAAUUUAAUCCAAAUAAAUAAUAUUUAAUUGAAUCGAAAUAAUUAAUUUAAUCCAAUUAUGAUAAAUUUAUUAUGACAUUGUCUCAGCCUCGUUUAUGACUUUAAUAUUAACUAAUUUUUUCCAUAUUAUAUUAGAGUCAAACAAUGUGCCUUAAAUCUUCUUCAUGAGCUUCAUUAAAUCAAUCAAAUUAUUAUUGAAUGCUAAUAAUCUUGACUUAAGUUUACACAUAAUAAAAAUGUAUAUACUAACUAUGAGUUAAAAAAAAAAAAAAUCAUAUAUAGAAUAAUCUAAAAUAUUAGAGACAAAAAUUAUAUAAUUAUGAUAUCUAUGAAUCACUUAACAAAAUUAAGAACACAAUAAAACUACAUUUAGACUAAAUUAAAGCAAUAUUUUUUAAAAUUUGUUGACAAUUAACUUAAACUUAAAUCUCAUUUAUUCAUGUUAAUUAAUGCAUUAUUAUUGGAUUAAAUAAUUAUUAGGAAAAUGAAACAAAAAGGUUUGUGUUAAUUGGAGGCAACCUUUUGAAUGGACAAAAGUUCUUAUAAUGAUCAAACUAUAUGUUAUUAGACAAUGCCCCAAUAAAACUUUAUUGAAGAAUGUGGAGACUAUCUCACAAAAGCAAUAACAAUUAAUACCAUUUUCUUUUCAAUUGGGUGCUUUUUAAUUUUGAUCUAAUUUCUAUUUUAUUAGCCUAUAUAUGCUUUCAAAUAUAUAUAACAUAUCUAUAUAUAAUUUCUCUUUCUCUUUUGUGUCAUACAAAUAAUUACUCUAAAAAGAUUGAGUAAGUGAAAUGAUUUUAUGUUUGUGAUUACACUUUUAAAAGUCAUAUUAAUAAUUAAUAUUGAGUCACACAUCCACUAUUCUUUUAAUUACUUUAUUUACAGCCACAUAUUAAUAUUAUAUAUAAGUGCCUUCAACAUCAUAUUAUUAAAACAUCGAGUCGAAAUUCAAGCCUUUAAUAUCUUAAUUGAGAAUACAUAUGUUUAGAUCAAUAAAUUACAUUAAUACAAUAUUUAUUUUAACAAAUCAAGAAUACGUACAUAUGUGUCGUCUUCAAUACAAAAGUUAAAGUAAAGCACACUCCACAUUUCGUCACCUUAUACACAUGUUAUAAACAUUUUUCUAUGUAAAACUUAUGGUAAUAAUCGAAGUAAUAAUUCUCGAUAAAAUAUAAACCUAACACACACACAUAUCGUUUAGGUUAUACAUUGGGAUCGAGAUGCAUGUUAUUAAUUAUUAUUCAAUAUUAUAGAAUUUGCUAGCUCCUUAUAAAAUAUAUGUUAUCUUAGUCAAAUAAUAGGAUAAUUAAUAUUUAACCUUUCACGUGUUCGUUAACGUAGGAAAUAAUUUUAAAAAGUUAACUUAAUUAGUAUAAUUCAACCAAAAGAAUGUUAGUCUUUGUAAUAAUUUUGAUUAUUGAAUAUGAAAGGAAUUGAAUUGAAAAAUGUGGAUGUGAAUUAAAGGGGUCAGCAUCAUCAUAUAUACCUUUAAAAGAGAGAAUCCAUAAAUAUUCCUUUUGGACCUCAAAAUAAGAAAUGAGGAAGAAACAAAAAAGAGUGCACCAAACCAAACUAUAUAUGAAAGAAGAAAUUAUUCAAAAGCAAUUUUAAAAGUGGGCUCUUGGUAGGAUUCACAAUAUAAUGCACAUGCCAUAUCAUAUUAUAUAAAUAAAUAUAUAUAUACACGAACUUAGUUACUUAUAUUAUUCAAUUACAGAUUUAAACACUAAAUUGAUAAAGAUCUUUUAACGUCGUUAUUACUGUUAGUCACUGAUAGAGAAUGAAAUUAAUGGAAUUUUGUUUAUAUAUAUAUAUAUAUAUAUAUUUAGUUAUAUGAUUUAAUAUAGUGUUGAUCACAUUUGAAAUGUUUUGAAAAUAAGAGUAAGAAAAAAACAAACUUUAUUUAGAAUUUAAUAUAAUUGAGCUUUAUUUGCACUCCAUUUAUUCUCAUCCAAUUGCUAAUUUGUUUAGUUAUUUUUGUUAGAUAGGGAAGGUUUGUCUUUUAAUAUUAGUGCAUUAUUUAAUUAUUAUAUUUUGUAUUUUAUUAACACAUUUAAAACAACAUUGAUAACAAAAACUUUGACUAAAAAGUAUAAAUUUCUUUAAAAAAAGUAUCACUAAUUACUCGUUUGUAAAAAAUAGCUCUGAAUUUUCAAAAGUUAAAAAAAUGGUUCGAUUACAUCUGUUAAAAUUUUUUUUAAAAAAAAUCUAUGAACUAUUAAAACGUUUCGUAAAUACUAUUAAACUUAAAAAAGUUCAAAUACUGGAAAUACCUUUUAAUGUGAGACGUGGAACUAUUUUCCAAAUGUGAAUUUGUUAUGGGUCAUAGAUUAGGUAGAUGUUAUACUUAAAAGUCGUUUUAGAAUCUAAUCUGUUAGAGCAUAUUGUGAAUAUUCUCGAAAGUUGUUUGACAUACAUUGAUAUACUAUUGAUAUACUUAAAAACAUUUCGUAAUCAUCUUGGACUGACUUAGUAGCAAAAUGAAAGAUAUUGAUAACUUGGAGGUUAUCGGUUCAAUCUAUUUAAUUUUUUAUAAAACUUUAGAGAUUUUUUUUUCUUCUAAAAUUUCCUUCAUAGGUUUUAUUUUUAGAAAAAGUUUAGUUGAUAUAGUUUUUUAAUCCAUAUUUAGUGUGAAAGCAAAAGUAAAAUAAGAUUUUUUUAGAUUUCAUUCGAUGUGAAUAUAUAGUGUUUGGGGGUGUACAUAAGCUCGGUUGAAGAAAAUUUAUGGACCAACCUAAAGUAUUCGAGUUUGACAUUAUAUGAACCCUAUAGGUUUAAUAUGCAAGAGUCAACCCGACCCAACCCAACCCAAGCCAAAAAAUUCGGGUUGGAUCAAGUUCCAUUGAAAUGUUAUUUUUUUUAAGACAAUUUUUCAUAUAUUUUUUUCAAUAUGCAAGGUGAAGAAAUUGUCGGGUGCAAUAUUUUUUUUCUCCAACUUUCUAAUCCAACUCAAUCUACACAAAAUUUAACCCAACCUUACGGUUUGGGUUUGAUAAUCCAGAUUGGUUAAAUUACCGAUUUUUAUUAACACUCCUACUUUUUCUUUUAAGAAAAUCUUACUAAAUGGCAAUUUGGUUUUAUUUUUUAAAUUUGAUAAAAAAGAAAACUCACUGUUUUUUAUCACUUAAAAAAAUGGAAACCAGAAGUAAGAAAUUGAGAAAAUAAAUUUAAUUUUAAAAAAUAAAAAUAAAAAAGAUAAUUUUUUUCUACAUUAUUUUAGUCAUAAAUCAUAUAUUUCAACCAUGUAUUUCAGGUGUGAUAUAAUAUAUAUAUAUAUAUAAACUAGUAGACUCACAUCUAGAUUUCCAAUAGAUUUUUGUUGUCUUCUUUUGUUAUUUUAAUAAAUAGCUUAAAGGACACACACAAUAAAUUUAUUAUUAUUUUAUUAACCAAAAGACAUAUCUUAAAUAUGAAAAGUUUUAGCAAAUUCUGAAUUUUAAAAUCUUAAUCUUUUUUUACAAAAAAAAAAAAAUAGAGAAGAAAUAAAAGCCAAUGAGGGCAAUUGAAAAGUAGUUAUAUAUAUAUAUAUAUAUAUAUAUAAGUUUUUGUUUUUAGAACAAUAUUAUAUGUUUACAAUCGAACUAGAAAUAAAAUUGAGAAAGUUUAAGAACGUAACUAUAACUACUGAUUUUUACAAUUUGCGAAAUUAAUCGUCUAAUUAGAAAUUACUCAUCUAUUUGAGAAAUUAGAUGCUCUCACAUCUCCCUCACAUAAAAAUAAAUACUUAAAAUUAUUAAUGAUUCAAUCUCUCAAGUUAUAUGAAUAUGAAAUUCAUAUUUUAUAAGGUUGAGUUUGAAUGAUAAUGAGAAGACAAUGAUGGAAGGUCAUAAUGCACUCCUUAAGUUUGGAUUCAUAAAUAUUUUAAUCCUCAUCCAAGUUGAUGAAUAUGUUCUUGAACAUUUUAUAAGAGUGAUUAAACAUUAGUAAAUAAAUCGACAUAGAAGUGGAUUUUGACUUGACCCAUAAUAAUAGACUAUUAGGGAAUAAUAGACUAUUAUCCUAAACAAUGAUAAAAAUCUAUUUAAGUCUAUCACGGUCUACGUUAGGUCUACGUUAAUAGAUAGUAAACUUAUGCUAUAUUUAUAAAUUUUUAUAUUAUUUUAAAGAACCAAAAGAAAAGAAAAGUAUUUUAUUUAUAUGAACUGAAAAUAAGGUGCACAAAGUUUAUUGAGAGUAAUUACAAUAAGUUAAAGAAAAAGGGGUGACCUAUGACUUCAAAGAGGUUGGCAUUGCAAGAUUGACUGCACAUCCUCCAGUUGAGUCUUUCCAUUGUUGUGUCACUGUUUUUAUCUGUGUGAAGAAGUUCACCCCUGCCUUCCCUGUUUCCACAAACACAUUCUCUUAAUCCCAAUUAACCAAAACAAAAAUCUAACCGACGCCAGCCUCCAUACAUUUAAUCGUGACUGAAAACUUGUAGGAUAUUAUUGACCUAUGAAUCCACUUUGGUAUUGAGCAUGAAAGUGAAUGACUUGAUAUAGGACCAAAAUAAAUAUGUAUGAAAGUUUGGAGUAUUUCAUGAUAUAAGGACUAAAGAAGAAUAAAAAAGGUAAGAAAUCAGGAGCAGAAAUGAGUUUAAACCAAAAGCUUACCAUAAAAGUUGAGAUCCCCAGCAAAAGAUGCCUUGGAGCCGGUGAACGAGAAGAAAGGCAAGGGAACUGGAAUUGGAACGUUGAUCCCAACCUAAUUCAUAUCAAAAGAUUCAAAUAUAAUUUUGAGACGUAAUUCAUAUAUAUAAAUUAGAGAUAACCAAGCAAUUGCAGAUCCUAUUGGCUUCUAUUCCUUAUAAUGGAAUGGAAGUACUGAGAUUAUAUAGUUUACAUGACAAACACAAAGGCAAAAAGUUAACCGACAUACAUCCUCUCCGGAUAUACUUUCUUUUGCAUUCUCGAAGAACAUGACUAUAACAUGCAAGUCUAUCUUAAAAAAAAAAAAGUAUUUUCUCGUCCUUUAAGAAUGCAUGAUAAGAGCGAAAAUGUUUGAAGAUACCCUCCAAAGUAAAGGCCUUGAAGCUCUAGAUAAAAACUUUACUCAAAACUCAUUUUAUAUCUUUGAGGGUGGGUUGGCAAAAGCCUCUUCAAAGAUUAGGGAGGGGUUGGAUGGGAAAUUUAUGGAAUUCGGCCUUUGUAUGUACGCGCGUGUGUGUGUGUAGGAAAAAGAAUCCUUUUCUUUCCAAUGUUAAGUGCUACUGUUACCUGUCCAGCUUCAAUAUCCGCUUGAAACUUCCUCGCGGCUAUCCCAGAUGUGGUGAAUAUGGAAGCUCCAUUUCCAUACCUAUCCAAACAUGAUUUUUCCUAAAGAUUGUAAGGCAACGGAGAAAGGAGUAGUUGCUAUGACAAUAAAGGGAACAACAAAUAAUCUGUACCUAUUUCCAUUAACGAUGCUAAUGGCGUCUUCUAAACUUUUAGCCUGAUGGAACAAUAAAGCAUGAAAUGUAACGACCUCUUUUAUGAAUGAAUAGAAGAAUCGGACAGAUAAUGAUGAUAAUGAUAUGACAAGCAUACCCUCAUGCAAAGCAGAACUGGGCCAAAUAUUUCUUCCUGGAAAGGGCAAGAUAUAAAUUUUCCAAGUUUAGUCUGACAUUCAUGGUUAUAAUACAUGUUUCACUCAUAAUAAGAUAUAAGAAUUACCUUGUAGCACUCCAUGUCCGGAGUCACAUCUGUUAAAAUAGUAGGGCCAAUAAAAUUUCCAUGCUCGUAUCCAGGAACCUAAAUUACAAUCAUGAAUAACUAUCAACGUGAUGCAGAUACAGGUAUAACAUUGAGUCUGUUAUAACACUACUUCGAAAGGGGAUUAUAAAUCAUCAGAAAAUCCAUAGAAAAAAACCCAUUGUUCUUAUUUCAGCAAUCUGAAUUGUGUCAAAGAGAGACAACAUGCUUAGGGAAUGUUCAUCUACAUUUUUGUUGAAAUCUUUAUUCUUCACAAUGUUACCACCCAAGGGAUACUGGUCCAGAAAAUCUUCUUUGUUUCACUAUGUUUCAUCAUGUUAACAUAGCAAAGAUUGAAAUCAAUUUCCUUAUAAACUUACUAUAGGUGAGAGAGAACCAUGCGAGAGUGUACUUUCGUGAAGAAGUUACACAAGAUAAUGUGCAUGUGAAGGAAAAAUUGUAAGAGAUAAAAAUGUGUAGAGAAACUAUUGAAAGAUAAUUCAACUGAAUUAUUCGAGGUUCAACAUAUCUUCCAGCCCCUAACGUUAGCUGCAUUUCAAGAGUUAGGUGAGGUGGGAAGCUCUAUGAUUCUUCCCUUGGCUAUACCCUGGAUAAAUAAUAGAUUGGAAGUUUAUCUUCUUAGGACCAAAUUUUGGAACUACCAUCUCGGCCAACUAAAUCUCUUUAUUCACUUAACUACAUUUUGCAUAGCAACAAAGAUCAAUUACUCCUCAAAAAGCUAGCAUAUGAUGCCACUUGCAGGGAGCAAUAUGAAGCAUAGAUACAUUAUGCCACAUCUACCAAGUACCUGCAGGAAAAAAAGAAAAUGUACUGUAACAUGAAAAGUAUCAAGAUACCACUAUAUUUCUCCCAUCUAGCAGUAGUGUGGCUCCACUAUCGAUGCCAGAUUGAAUCAAUCUGUGAAUCCUAUCCUUUGCCUGUGAAACAAUGAAAUAUUUUAAGCUUCACAUAGAUACCACCGAGGGAUGUUCCAGGGCAUAAUAAAAUAUGAAAAAUAGAAGUUUAAACUGUAGGGAAAAAAAUGAUAAGUACCUGCUUGCUAAUUACUGGACCAAGAUCUGCAUCAGGUUCUGUUCCAGAGUUUACUUUUAGAGCUUUGGCACGUACUACAAGUUCAUCCUCCCUGGAAAAGGUUUAUGUUUCAUUUGUGAUAAACAAGUACUAUGGCUGGCUGCAAUCUAAAAGUAUUUUCGGAACAGACACAGUACAAAUAUAUCCCGAAGUACGGAAACCAUGUAAUUGUUAUGGUAUCUGCUAAUCUCAAGAAGUACAAAAAGAUAUGAGAGUGUGCAGGCAUUCAAUUCCAGAAGUUUGUACUUGAUCCAAAUGAUACACCAUAUAUUUUGAUAAACAUUUGUCGAAAUUCCACACAAAACAAUUUUUUUUAUAUCGUGAGUGUCGGGCUAGCUUAUGCAUACCUAUACAAAUCUCACGAGACAACCUGUCUGACUCUACAACAUUUGGAUGUCAAGGAAACUCUUAGGAAAUUAAUUCCUAAGUAGGUAACCAUCAUGGAUUGAACCAUCGACCAUCGACCAUCGACCUCUUAGUUAUUUUAUUGAGACUGUCAUCAUUUUAUCACAAGAUCAACCCAUGACGGUUACAUAGAACACAAAUUUGAUGAUCCCAAACCAUUGGAUCUCAUAAUGGUAAAAAUUACUUGCAACUUGAAUUAAUAAUUGGAAGAAAAGGCAAUUAGUUCUGAAGUUUCCCAAAAGAAAACUCUACAGUUCAGGCUUUAUAAGAUCAACAAUUUUAGUUGCCUCAGAAUUUUCCUAACCAUUAAAAGUCUAUGCAAUCGCUCACAACUGAAAGAAGUUAACAACAUUCAAGAUACAAACAGCAUUAUAUGAAUCCAAAAUGGUAAGACUGCAAAUGGAAAAGAACUCAACUUUACCCACAAAAACAUGGACAUAAAAGCAAUAUAAAUAGAGAUGAUGUAUGCUUAGAUAAUAUCAAAAUUCCAAGAAUAGGAAGAAUACCAAAACUUGAAUUCUCCAACAAAGACAACUGUACUAAGUGCCAUGCAUCUUUGUCCAGCAGCGCCAAAACCAGCAGCAACCAAAGCAUUCAAAGUAGUAUCUAUGCCGGCAUCGGGCAAGACAAUGGCAUGAUUUUUUGCACCCAUAUUGGACUGAAACAAUCACAGUCACUCAAACAAUUAGAAGAGUUUCAGAAACAAGAAGACUUGUAGAAGUAUUCAAAAAUUUGAGCUUGGAUUUACUUGCCUGAACACGUUUUCCUUUAGCUGAUCCCCUUGAAUAUAUAUGCAUGCCCGCCUUUCACAUUAAAAGAUGAUUAGAAAAUAAAAGUAAAAUUCAGUCAAUAUGGUAAGUUGAUUUACCUUGACAGACCAAACAUGUUGCAAUUCCUUUUAUUUACUUAGUUACUUAUUAUUACUUUCUUUUUAGCUCAAGAACAUGCAGAGUUAAGAGAAUCCAACCUUGACCUCUUGGUUGCAUGUAUAUGCCUAAAUCAAUGAAGUUAUGUUCAAGUUGGCAAAUCUUCUUUUCUUUUUUUCUCAAUUAUUUUUUUCCUUUUCUGAAAGGAACAAACAAUUUGAUUAUAAGUGAAAAUUAAAUAAGAUAAAGGGAAAAUCCCAUACAAAAAACGAUUACAUAAAUUGCUCUGAUUGGCAUUAGUUGAAAAGAAGCCAUUACAAAACAAAGUAAAAAUUAUACACUACACUAAGUUUAAAAAAUAGUAGAAAUAGUACAAAAAAACUAAAAAACUUAGGGAUGAAAGCUCGGCCAGUCUCUGGUUUUGUGCUCAAUAGCAAUAGUUCUAUAAUUUUUCCAAAGAGAACUUCCCAAAGGACAAGAAAGAAAAUCAAUAGACGCAAUGCAAUUGCUAAACACGGUCCAAAGCUAAACUUAAUAUUGCAACCACUCAGCUAGAACCACAAAGCUAAAGUUAAAGCACUUUGAACCAACGGCAGAAGGUAAAAGAAUGGUGAGGUUCAACUGUAGUGGGAUGUUCCAUCAAAUAAAUAUCUUGUAAAACUCCAGUCCACAUGAAGAAAUAUCCAAAUUAAUAAUUCUGGUUCUCAAAACAGAAAGGGAAAAGGCCCUUACUAUCCUAUAAUGGAAUCUUAGUAUGUUGCAGCAAGAACCAGUUGUAGAAAUGAGUCUGGAAUGUAUUGAAAUUUCUCACUUCGUGAAGCAUAAGUUAUUUCAGUUAAGAACUUAAAAUAACUUACAAUGUUUGAACCGACAAAUGAUAUUGCUUUUAUAUCUUCAUCAUCACAAAUAGCAUUAACAACAUCCUGAAGAAAAAUCACAACAAUUAAAAUAACAUUUUAUUGAAGCUGCAAGCAGAUCAACUGACAGCCAACACAUUUAGGAUAGCAGUUAAGUCCAAUGGGUAUGGUUCCCGCAUCUAACAAUAGAGUUGUAAGCUUGUGAACACUUUAGAAUACCAUGUGAGAAAAUAAAAAUGCUAAAACCAAUAGCAGAAUAAAUAUAUAUUUUCCUUGAUUUCACUUGCGCAUCUAGGAUUUAUUAGUAGAUAGAUCGGUGUCAAUAUUAGCCUUGCCACCCAACAAUCCUACAAGAAGAUAGAUAAAGAACUCACAUUAGUACCAUGAACCACAUUUAGGACACCAUCAGGCAAUCCAGCCUCCAUUGCUAACUCUGCAAGCAUUAUAGAAGCCCCUGAAAAAGCAGGAAAGUUCGAAGUUUAAACAUCACUGAAAUGACAGGAACAAUUUACAUCUUUCAAAUAUAGAAAAACUGUAGAAAUGGAGAUGAUCUCCACUAUGAUAUGCUUCAAUUAACUAGCAAAACUAUAUUUAAAGCUUAAGGCAGCUAUUUACUAUUCAAUCACUGUCUGCGAGUGUGUCCCCAAGCCAAACAUAAAUCUCAAAGAGAUACCCACUAGAUCAAAGCUAUUCACUAUUCAGUAUAUAUAUAAAAAAUUGAAUACUAAUAAACCCUAUAUAUAUUUGUUUCUGUGUAUGUGUGACUGUGUUAAAUGGAAACAGUAAAUAAAAAAAACAAGUUUGUAUUAAAGUGAUUUGGGGAAUGAUUAAAAAACAAUGAUUACCAGGAUCUUUUUCUGAAGGCUUCAAAACAAAGGUAUUUCCACAUGUAACAGCAAUUGGGAACAUCUGCAGAGGAUUAUCCAAAGGAAAUGUCAGUCUAAUAUCAUAAGAAAAGAAAACAAAGUAAAGGCUAUUUGGAGGGAUAAUAUCAGGAUGGAAUGAUGAAAAGAGUUCUAAAAUUAUUUUUGGGGGAUAAAAAAAUUUCAUAGAAAACAGACUAAUUCUCUACUGCUGAAAUUAUGACCACUGGGAAUGACAGUGAAGGAUAACAGGCUAACCCAAAGUGGGAUCAUUGCUGGAAAAUUGAACGGACAAAUCCCAGCACAAACACCAAGAGGCUCUCUGAUGCUAUAGGUAUCAAUUCCAUGUGAUACAUUAGAGACAUACUCCCCCAUUUGCAGAGAUGCCAUUCCACAUGCAUGUUCCACAACCUCUACAUAAGAUAGGCCAUUUCAACUUGUUAAUAAACAUUCAGCUCAGGUCAACAAUAAAACAAAUCUACCAUCUCAUAACCACAAACAUAGACAAGGAGAGGAAGGAACUAAGGAUUAUAACCUAGCCCACGAAAUACAUCUCCAUGUGCAUCCUUUAAUGUUUUUCCUUGUUCUGUGGUAAUAUUUAGAGCAAGUUUGUCCUGAAAUGAUGGGAAGAAUCCAUUUUUAUAGUGAAUUUAGAAUAUUCCAUUAAAUGGAAAGAAAAAGUCCUAAAAACUUACUAUAUCUCGCCUAAUAAGUUCUUGCAGCUUGAACAUAAUUCGUUGACGAGUUGUAACUGGAGUAUUACGCCAUGCAGGAAAAGCCUGCUUUGCUGCAGACACUGCAGCUUUAAAUUCAUCAUUUGUGCUCAAUGGAACUUGAGAAACAACUUCUUGCGUUGCCUAAAGACAAAAGGCACAUUUUCUUACCCAUAUCAAAAGGAACUCAACUUUCACAAAUUGGAAAUAGAAAAGAGAACAUAAAAUUGAGCUGGUAACUCACUGGGUUUAUGACAUCUAUAAAUGCUGAGGAUUGAGAAUCAACAAAAGUCCCUCUUAUGAGAUUUGGAACCCUCUGGUACAAAAAAAAAAGGAUAAAAGGGAUAAAUUCAAUGAGGGAAAUACACAAUCUAGAGAUAAACAUUAUAAGAAAAUGCCACAAUUGACAAUCAUGAAUCAAUUCAAGUUGAUAAAAUAGAUAAAAGCUGGAUUCUAUCAACGGAUGGUUAAAGACUAUAGAUGAAGAAAGGCUUGUGUAAAUGAAGUAUAUAUCAUCUUUCCGUAAAAAUGCUCGAUAAAACAAGCAUGCACUUGCAUCAAAUUUAAUAUUUUCGUGAUGGCUUGACAGACAAACUACAUUGGGCAAGGAAUGAAAUUAUGAACUUAAUAUGGCAUAAAAUUGAUGUUUUAUAGUCAUGGGCCAAAACUCCUUGGAUGAAAGAAUGAGUAGACUUCCCCCAACUCCUUGGUUGAGCCAAACACCCCCUUAAGAAGACCAUUCCAAGCAAUUCCUUCUCGAUAUCAGAAAUUAAAGCAGCAUUCUCUUCGAUAAUUAAUUACAAACGAAAUAAGUAAGCAAAGUUGGGGACAGUAGAAAGCAAAGCAUAACUCAGAAUCCCAAAAAAAAAAAAAAACGGAAGCAGAGUUCCUCAUUCAAAUCACAAGCUCAAUAAAUCACCUAAUUAAAGAAAUAAAGUAAAGAAACAAUAAUAAUAAUGCAACAUGCUUAGUAUCCAAAAUCACUAGCCUCUCAAGCGCUCAUCCGUCAAAAGAAGAUUAGCUGACAAAACGAAAUGAAGUCUCCGAACAAACAACCACAUCAUUACCGGAGGAUUAGGCUUUGAAGACGGUUCAGCAAAAGUGGAAAAACGAACAUUUCCAAGAGCAAAGAUCUGAGGCCUCAGAACACUCAAUUUUUUCACUGCGACAUGAUCACGAACAUAAUCAAGAAGCAACUUCCAUUAAAAAAAAAUAAAUCAGAAAUAAGAAGAAUCAAAGAAUGUUACCUCGCCAAAUCGAAGAUUGCAACAUUUUUCUCCGGCGCCGAUUGAAGAUGAUCGAUCACACUCUUACACAAAGCGCUAUGGAGAGAUUUGACUGUUUAGAAGCAAAAGCUGGACUGGACAAUGUUUUGGUUAAACACCAGCGGUGGUUCAUAUUUCAUUUUGAACCGUUGGAUGGUUUCGAUCCGGUUGAUUAUGUAAGAUUCGAGCGAUCUAACGGUGGAAACUUUAUAUUAUUGUUUUUAUUGGAUAAUUAUUAAGUUGCGUGCUUUUGUUGUUUGGUGUGCUUUGCUAAUAAAUAAAUAAAUAAUUUGAGUUUUGGAUUUGGAUUUGAUGAAAACCAUCAAAUAUACACAAAUGUUUAUAAAAUAUAAUAAAAUGUUAUCCUCAAACAAAAAAAUUUACAAAUUUUAAUAAUUUAUCCUUUUUAAAUUUGUAUGAUAAGGUUUUCAUUAUAUAUUUUGAAAGUAAUUUUCAAAUUGUUAUAAAGAGAAUUUAUAUAAAUAGAAGAAAAUGAAAAAUAUUAACAUUACAAACAAAAUGAAUAAUUGAGUUAAAAUUUUGAUUAUUCAAAUUGGGAUUUGAUUAAAAUAGUUUGUCAAUUCUUCUCCUUUUAAAAAUUAUCCUCGGUAAAAUUACUUUUAUUAGGAUUAAAAUUAUGUAAUUGUUUCUAGAUUUAUUUUCUAUAUUUUUCUAUAUAUUAAAAUUGAUUUUUGAAUAAUUUAAAUUAAAAUAAUAGUAUUAAUAAAAGUUAAUUUGUUUGGUAUUCGAAAUUUGGUUAUUGGUAAAGUAUUUUGAUUUUUAAUUUUUAGUUUUUAAAAUAUACUCUAUAAAUAUUACUUUUAUACAUUGGUAUUUUUAAUUUUGAUAUCCACUCGUUAUAAGUUUAUUUAAACUCACAAAUUAAGUUUUAGAAGCUAUAAAAGUGUAUUUGAAGAUUUGUUUUUCAAUUUUGAAACUUCCUAAGAAUUUACAUGUUUUUUAUAUAUAAAAAAAAAAAUUGAAAUCUAUAGAAAAAAUAUUGAGAAAAACAAUAAAAGAAAUGGAAAAAAACAGAAAUGAUUAAGAAAUUAAUAUUUCAAUAAAUUAUGAAUAGACUUAAAUUAAUAUAUCAUUUAACCUAAAAGAGAAUCUCUAACCAAUAGAAUUGGGUGCAUGCUUACAAGGACAUGACUCAGCAUAUACAUAUAGGUGUGUGUUUAUAUAUAUAUAAACAAUGUGAUUAAGUGCUCAUCAUUUGGUUAUUGGUUAUUCAUGUCUUCUCCCUACCAAGCACAAAGGGUUCUUUCUUCAACAUUGUUAGGAUUAAUUAAUCCAACUUAAUUCCAAAUGAUGAAGCUCAUUGGUUAUCCUUUAGAUUAAAGAAGUUCCAUAAGAUUGUAUAGGAAUAAAGUGGGUUUGUUAUGUUAAAAAUGAAUCAAACUAAAUGGUAAUGAUAUAUAACUAUGUUAUUGGAGAUUAUUUUUAAAAUACACGUAGAUUUAUGCCGCAUCAAAUAAAUGUUAAAAGUAUUGUGUUGAAUUUGUUUUCUUAAUAACUAAUUUGUUGAGAGAGUGACUAAAUUGUGCAUGAACAAUACCACUACAACAAUCUUUGCUUUGGAUGUCAGUUAUGAAAUGACAUCAUACACAUACGAUGUUGAAUUACCGUCAUUGUAUCAUGUGACGUAGGUUUGAAACGAUGUCGGUUUGUGACUGACAUCAUAAACAUACAAUGACGGUUUGAUAUGGUGAUAGUUUGUAACCAGUUUGUUACAAUGUCAAUUCGUAGCUGAUAUCAUACAAAUGCCAUUAUAUACAUACGAUGGUGGUUUGUUACAAUGUUGUUCAUUAAUUGUUAUUAUUGUACAUUACGAUGAUUUUUUUUAUAUCAGGUCAGCUUACGAGCACCUUGACUAGUCACACGGGACACUCGCCUUACCCUACAACGUUUGGGUGUCAAGGAAAGCCGUAAAAAAUUAACUUGAGCAUUGUACAUCAUGAUGUUAGUUUACAAUCAACAUAUUUAUUAUAACUUGCAACAAUUAUAGACGAAACAUGAAUCCUACAUAGUCAAAUUUUAAAAUACUAACAAACAUCAUCCAAAACUAAAAAUUAACUUCAAUGUAACUCAUUUAUAAAUCUAGAAAUUUGAAAUGGAUGGAAAACAACACCUAACCAAGUCCAAUAGUAAAACUUCAAUCUACCAAAUUAAUCUAAAUUAAGUAACCAAGUUGGAAUCCAAAGUUUAAUCAACUUGAUUGGAUGGAAAUUAACUAAUACACAUCUUAGGUAUGAAAUUCUUGAUCGAGAUGGGCUCCUUUAUAGAUAGUAUUUGCAAUAAAUCGUAUUAAUGAUAGAAGUCAAUCAUAUCGAUAAGUUUUAUCAUCAAUAUCAUUAACAUACAAAUAUUCACUCAUACCUACUUAACUUCUAUUAUUGAUAUCUAGCCAAGUUUUAUCAUGAAUGUCAGUAGUAAAUGAUAUCACUCAUACACUGCUAUCACUAACAUCUACCUAAGUUAAAUAACUCGUACACAAAUAUAAUUGAUAUCAUUAGGAGAUGAAUAUCAUUGAUUUCUUUGAUAUCUCCCUAAAUAAUACUAAUGAUAUCACCAAUGUCAUUUAUUUUAGAAUAGCUUUGUAACUACCGAGAACAAAUCUAACAUAAUUUUAAAAAAUUAAGUUGACGGGUCAACCCUUACUAUUUAUACAAAUAUUUGAUAGUUGUCAUUAGAAGUAAAAUCAUUGAUCGGUCCGUCGGCGUCCGUUUGGUAAAGUGUCCAACCAACAUCGACAUUGAUGGGUAAAGGUUGGUUAGUUUGGUUUUUUGUCGGGUCGAUUUAACACUUAUAAAUAAUUUUUGAAAAUUCUUAAUUUGAAACUUUUCGAAAUCUACUAUGACGGAUCGAUCUCGGCUUAGUCUCUUCUAUUUUUAAUUUAUUUUCUCAAAUUAUGGUGUUUGCUAUCAUUUUCCUUCGAUUGUCACAGUCGGAAAAACGCGCCAAAGCUUGGAAGAAUGAAAUAUGAAUGACGAAACUCAAAGACCCGAAGAAAAUUCAAAAACGUCCAAAUCUUUGACGACUUGACGAUUCAUUCAAUCUUCUUGACUUGGUCGCUUCAGGUGUUCUCAGUAGGCCAUGGACAAAUCCGGUUGGUGCCUCUCAAAAACAUGCGUAACUCUUCAAAUCCAACACUCUCUUCUGGUAAUUCUAGUUCAUCUAUACCCUUUCUUCCCAUUUUUUUUUUUUUUAAUUGCUUCGAGUUUGAUAAUAUGUGUUCUGAAUCUUCAAUUUUCCGUUUUAAGUUUUGUUUCUUGUUGUUCUACUUUCUUUUCACUUCCUUCCAUUGUUGCAGCUCCACCAAUUUCUCCUUCUCUUCUUUCCCCAAUUCCUCCAAUAUCAUUUUCGUCAACAGUGCCACAAGAGGCACAGUUUUCGAUCAUCCUUCUCUCCGGCUAACCGACAGCCAGAUUGGCGGCAGUGUCUUCAACAGCACCGGAAGAGCGUACUUCUCGGAGCCGAUUCAACUAUGGGAUCCAGCUACUAACGUAUCUUCUGAUUUCACUACUUAUUUUGAGUUUCAGAUCUCGUUUCCUAACGGGAUCUCGAACGUCUCUGGCGGUGGAAUUGCCUUCUUCAUAGCUUCCGAGGAUUCCGCAUCGCCUCCUUUGAAUUCCAGCGGCGGAUGGCUAGGGCUGUUCAAUCAGUCCAACGACGGAAAUCCGUCGAAUCAGAUCGUCGCCGUUGAGUUUGAUAUCUUUAAAGAUCCAUGGGAUCCUAGCGGUAAUCAUGUUGGCGUGGACGUGAAUUCCAUCGUCUCCAUCGCUAGUCGUACUUGGAGUAAUACAAUGGUUUCUGGAGAUAUUUUGGGUGCUCGAAUCACUUACAAUGGAACAUUGGGGAGAUUGGAUGUUACGCUGAAAGAUCCUCAGGUUCCAAAUGAGUCGAUUACGUUGAAUCUUACUGAUGUUCCCAUUGAUGUGAAGAGAAUUCUUCCGGCUAGAGUGAUCGUUGGCUUUUCUUCAUCAACGGGUCAGUCAAUCCCAAUUCAAGCAAUUAGAAGUUGGAAUUUCACAUCGAGUUUGGAUUUGAUUGAUGUAGCUGGAAUUGUUGAGGAAAAAUCCAAAUUGUGGAUUGUGGGUCUGGUUAUUGGAUUGGUUGGCUUGGUUUUUCUGUCUGGAUUCUUAUUUGUUGUUUGGUGGAGAAGAACAAAGAGGAAACAGAGAGAAAAAGAAGAGAGAGAUGGUGAUGAUGAUGAUGAUGAUGAUUUUGGUGAUGAAGAAAUUAGUAUGGUGGAGAAUGUUGUUGAUGAAGAGUUCAUUAGAGGAACAGGACCAAAGAGAUUUGCUUAUAAGGAACUUGUUAAAGCAACAAACAAUUUUUCUCAAGAAGGAAAACUUGGGCAAGGAGGUUUUGGUGGUGUUUACAAAGGUUUUGUGACAGAACUAAACAUGGAAAUAGCAGCAAAGAAGAUAUCAAGCACUUCCAAGCAAGGAAAAAAGGAGUACAUCUCUGAAGUCAACAUUAUAAGCCGUUUGCGACAUCGAAAUCUUGUUCAACUCGUUGGAUACAGUCACGAACGCGGCCAUUUCGUACUCGUUUAUGAGUACAUGCCGAACGGAAGCUUAGAUUCCCAUUUGUUCGGGAAAAAAUCACGCCUCUCCUGGCCUUUAAGAUACAAAAUAGCCCACGGCAUAGCCUCUGCCUUGCUCUACCUCCACGAGGAAUGGGAACAAUGCGUUGUCCACAGAGACAUCAAGUCAAGCAAUGUGAUGUUAGACUCAAACUUCAACGCUAAAGUAGGUGAUUUUGGUUUAGCCAGACUUGUUGAUCAUGGUCUCCGCUCGCCAACGACAGUCGUAGCAGGCACGAUGGGCUACCUAGCUCCAGAGUCCCUUCUCACAAGCAAAGCGAGUAAGGAAUCAGACGUGUUUAGUUUCGGGGUGGUGGCAUUGGAGAUAGCCUGUGGGAGAAAAGCAGUGGAACACAAUAAAGAAGAAGAAGAAAAGAUUAGUUUGGUGAAUUGGGUUUGGGGAUUGUAUGGACAAGGAAGACUUCUUGAAGCAGUUGAUAAGGCAUUGAAUGGAGAGUUCAAUCAAGAAGAAAUGGUGCGUUUAAUGACUGUGGGGCUAUGGUGUGCACACCCAAAUCAUAACCUAAGAGCUUCCAUAAGGCAAGCAAUUCAAGUGCUGAACUUUGAAGCCCCUUUGCCUAAACUCCCAACACAAAUGCCUGUGCCUAUGUUCUAUGCUCCCACAGCUCCCAAUGAAAACCCUUUUUCAUAUAUUUACUCAACCAACACAAACUCUCAAGUAUCAUUGCAAUCUGAUACAUCUCAGCCUGUUUCCUCCAAAUCAUCCUUGUGAUUUGUGCUUCCUCCUUUCUAUGGGGCUCAAGGUAAUUUCUCUAUUGCUCCUUUUGGUUUGUCUUAAAUUUAAAAUUGUGUGAAGAUGGCAUAGCUAGAUUGGUUAGCUUUUACUUUAAUUAAUUCCUUUUCUGUGAAAAAAAAAUUCUUCCAUCCAAUUGGAAAUUUGUGUAAGUUGGAAUGUAAAUGCAUUUGAUUUUGUAUAUAAAGUAGGGAAGUUAUAGCUAUUGGUGAGAAUUUUCCAACGAUUUAUUUGUACGGGAUAACUUUCUAGUUUCUAGAUGUUAUACUUAAACUAGUUGAGAAACAAAUGUAAUUUAGAUUAAGUCUUUUCUAAAUAGUAAUCUUUUUAACAUAUAAUGAAUAGUUUUAUACAUGUUAUUAUAUAUCUACUUCAAGUCACAAGAAUUAAUGCAAUAAUUGCUACUUUCAUGUAAAUGCAAGGUCUUUUGUUUUGUUUCUUUUACACAUAAAUGCAUGUUGCAUAAACAUUGGAAGGAUGGAUGCACUUAUUUCAUGAGUGUGUCGUGUAAGUUGUAAUCACUCAAUCUUGAACAGAUACAUCCAAAUAACAUCUAUUAUAUCUCAUCUCGAAGAGUGGUAUCUUGUCAUUAUCAAUUACAUUUAUUCAAUUAAGACUUAAUUUUUUAAAAAUAUAUACAUUUAUGUUGUAAACUAAAAAUCGAAAAGGUCGCAUCCACCACCUGACAAAGAAAUCAAUGGAGCCAAUGAUCUAUUAUUUGGCCUAAUUCAUUUUUCUUUAUCACUUCUUACUAUUAAGUUUUCUAAAUAUAAUAAUGUAUGUUAACAUAAAAAUAAAUAUUUUAGGAAAGUUUCUGGUAGUCAUAAAGUUUUCAAAUGAUUUGAUUUUCAGCAUUACUUAAGUAAAUUGUUUCAAAAAAAUCAAAUUUCUUCCUCUAAUAAAUUGGUGAAAGCAAGAAUCAACAAAUGACUUGUUCAAAAAAGAAAAGAUGGUAUAUUUGAUACAUACAAGUGCAUGAAUACGACAAUUUGUAUAAUAUAUUGUCUUUGAGUACACUAGAAAAUGUGUCGGGUUAAUUUUCAUUUUCAAAUGUAUGUUUGUAAACACAACAAUACUUUGGGAAUGAGUGGAUUUCAUAAUACAAUCAUUUUUACUUAUCACUUUCGUCACUCAGACAUAAAUUAAAAUAAAUAAAUAAAUAAAAUAUUUUAGUAAAGAAACCAGAAGAAUUUGUUACCUGACAAAUUAUGAUUAUACAAUUUGGUGAGAUGUAUAUGCACAGAAAUGGUGGAGUAUUUUUGAAAAGAAUAUUUAUGCAUGUUUUUACAUAUUUUAACAAUAUUACCAAUCCUAUUAGAUAUAUACUUGAGAUCUUCUUGAAAGAAAAAAAAAACAUUAAUUUGAAAUAUUAUGCAUUGAAUGAAUAUAUAUCAACAAAAUUAAUAAAUAACAAAAUAAUUUUAAUAAGAAAUUUUUUAAAAAAUUUAAAUUGGUUAAAAAUAAGAAAGAUUUAGACAAAAAGAAAAAAAAGAAAGAAAAAUCACUAGUAAUUUUCACAAAUGUCCUAAAUUUGAAAUUAUUUUUUUAAAAUAGAAUUUCGUAUAAAUUUUGAACAAUAAAAACCUUCUAAUAAUUAUAAAUUAUAUACUAUAUUCGUAAUAAAUUUAAAAUUAUUUUCUUAUUAAAGAUAAUAUUAAUUAAUUUCUUAUAUAAAUGUGUUAUUAUUAUGAAAAUUAUUUGAGUAUAUUUUUUUUAAUGAAGUAUUAAUACAAAAUAUAAUCCAAUAUGUAAUAUUAUUGAAAUUAAUUUAUCGUAACCGUGUAAAUUAUUUUAUCUUCAUCACCAAACCCUAUUCAAUUUUCAAUUAUCGUUGUCGGCCUUUUAUUUCUAUAACCUCAACUUUUCAAUUUUUCAUUGAGUUCAUUGUCAACAACCGUUCAUCUUCGUUACGUUAACCUUUAAUCAAUAAACAAACAUCUAAUUUUCUUUGCUUUUUUCUUUAUCCUUCAACAUCCUUCACAUUAACCUUACUAUUUUUCGUAGAUUUCGUUUCCUUUCGGUUAGUAUUUGGUCGGACUUUUCUUUAUUCAUUUUGUUCUUAGUAGACUUACAAUUAGUAUGAAUUUUCAAUUAUUUCCAUUAUUCUCCGUUUCAUAUAUUUCAAGAACAUAUAUAUAAAAUACACAUAUUUUACAAUAUGUUUUUUUGUCACUUCUCUAUUCUAAAUUUUCAUUAUCAUAUCGUAUACUACAUAAUUACAACAAUAAUUAACUAUAUACCCGUAAGAUAUUUGACAUGAUUUAUUAAAUAUAUACCACGUAUUAUUUACAAUUAUACUAAUUUUUUAAUAUUCCCGCAAUACAGAAUAGGUUAUAUAUUUAAUUUAUUAUAUAUAUACCACAUCUAACUUUCUAUUAUAAUAGCUUUUUAAUAUUUUCGUUAUUCAUAUAUACAAUGGUAUGCCACUAAAUAAUAAAUUUAUAUUUUGUGAUUUAUCACGUAUAUACUAAUGCAUAUAUUCAAGAAUACAUACAUAUAUUUUUUUUCAUGUUUUGUGAUUUUUUCUUAUUGCGUAUAUAUACCAAUAUAUACACAGAUUAUAUAUCCAUUCAGUUUUUUAUUUAUUAUUUUUUACAUAUAUACUAUUUAAUAAUUCAUUCAUGUUUUGUGAUUUGUUAUAUAUAUAUACUACUAUAUAUAUUCAAUAAUACAUCUAUAGAUUUUUUUUUUCAUGUUUUGUGAUUUUUUCUUAUUGCAUUUAUAUACCACUGUAUACACAUAUUAUAUAUUCGAUCAGUAUUUCUUAAAAAUUCUUACAUCUAUACUACUGCAUAAUACAUAUGUAUUACUUCAUAUAUUCAAUAAUACAUAAGUGAUAUUAUCUUCAAUAUACUCAAUAUAUAUACCUCUAAUGUAUUUCGAAUACGAAAUAUAAAUUCUUAUUAACCUUAAAUUUUUGUCAAUUUUUUUUCUUGAAAUAUCACUGUAUUAGUUAGCUGCCGAUGUUCUUCUUCUUCUUCACCGCUUAUAUUUCCCCCAAUCAUCUAUUAUUCGGCGUCUUUUGUGAAGAAUUAAUAUUCAAUGUAUUCGAAUAAUGAAACUUUUACUUUAUUUUUUUUAGUUUUCUAAACCGUAACUCACGUCUCUGAUUUCUCUCAUUGUCGGUCCACCUUCUAUAAACAAAUUGAUAUAAUAACUUUUCGUUAAUAAAAUAUACACCGCAUUAUUCAAUAUAUACUAUAAUUGGAUGGAAUAUAUGAAAAACGAACAAAAGAAUGGACAAAGAGAGAAAUUGAAAAGUGAGAGAGAGAUCGAGAGGAAAGAUGUUUUUGAACAAUAUCACCAAAAUAAAAAAAAUUAAGGGAAAAUCCUUGUUAUAAUAUUACCAUAACAAAAUUAAUCACUUACUAUAUUUAUAUAAGAUAUUUAAUAAAUACAAAUAUUAACCAUGAUCCACUUUCGUUUUCUUUUUUCUAUUUUUAAUUUAUUAUUAACAAUAAAGAUGGGUUACAUUGGUCAUUUAUGCCUUAUAUUUGUGUAAAAUAUUAGGCGAAUUAGGAUAUUCUAAAAAAAUUUAAGAAAUUUGGAUUAAUCUUGUAAUAUAGUAUACCAUUUUACGCUAUCUUAGGUCAAGACCCUAAAAAUAAACUUAAAAACCUAAUAAGGAAAUAAUUCAAUUUGAUGACGUGGCAGUGCAUGGUCCAAUAACAUUAGGACAUGUCAGCAUUUAAAUAAUAAAAGAGAAAACGAAUUUAAUAGUACUAAAUGGAUACAACGGUCAAAAGCUUUUAAAAGGUAAUAAUAUUCUAUUCCAACUAAUUUACGUCAACAUAUUCCUUUAUUAUUAUUAUUUAUUUUUGAGAUAAUACAUUUUGUUUUAAAUUACCAAAACCAUAAAAAAAUAGUAAGUAAAUUGCAUUAGAUGACAAUAAAAUUUAGAAAAAAGUAGCUCAUAACACUAUAACGAAAAUAAAACGAUAAUAUAUUUUGAAAAUGCAAGUAACAUGGACUCUAUUAUCAUAAAUUUUCUUUUGUUAUUUUUACAAAUUUCCUAAGAUAAUAUUUACAACUAAUUUUAAUUCCACUCAAUUUCCUAUAUCAUAAAAGUGAGUUAUUGUAAUAGUUUGAUCUUUAAUAUAAACGUGGAGGGAAUUUGAUUUGUUCUUCCUCGAAGAAAAAGAAUGUUAUAGCAGUUCGACUCUAGCUGUCGAAAGCUAGAGUCGAACUUUGAGUGACAUAUCUAACAGAAAGUAUGUGUGAGUUUAUAUCGAACAAAUAUCCAUUUUUCUCGUAAUUAUUUUUACAGUUAAUUUUUGUUAUUAUAUAUUUUAUUUGCAUGAAACCAAUUAUUGCAAUUUUCAUUAGUUCUAUAAUUUUGUUAUGUUGGUCAAAAGUGUUGGUUUUUAUUUUUUAAAUGGUCUUGAAAUGAAUUUAUUUGUAUCUAAUUAAUUCCUCUUUAAAUCAUUUGAUAGCGAAAACAUUUAUUAAUUUUUUUUAAAAAUUAGUUUUAAUUAGUUUGAAUAAUCCCUUUUGUGUAUUAAAAAAUAUCAUUAAUAUUAGUGAUAAGGUAAAAUAUCCUAAAUUAUUGAGACUAGUAUAUUAUAUUGCUGAUAUCCAAUAGAAGUUUUUAUGAAAUCAUAACUUAUAUAUAGGUGAUAUCAAUGACGAUCAUAUGAAUGAUAUCAGUGAUAGAACCUAGUUAGAUAUCAAUAGUUAUAUUAUUGUAUGACUAUCAAUUAUUAAAUUUGAUAGUAUGAGUUCCAUCUCAAAACCAAUUGACAAUGAGAGGAUUAAUCCAUCUAUCUUAUAUGGAGUAUGAGUAAAUUCCCUUGGUUUUUUCAAUGUGGAACUCUCAAUACUUCUCCAAUAUGUCCCCUCAAGAUGAUGUCUCUUUGGAUUUACCUAUUUUGGAUCGAAUACUCGUUUGAGUUUAAUGAGAUUUAAUACUAUAUUAAAUUUGAUAGUAUAGAGUUCCAUCUCAAAAUCAAAUUUAACAUCAAUGAUAUGAAAAUGAAGGCUAUAUUUUUAUAUAUUGCAUUACUAGCUUAUUUAAUGGGAGGGUAGUUUAGUAAAUUUGAGGCUUCUUUAAGAAAAAUUCUAAAUAAGGUUAUGUUUGCAUUUAAUUUUAGGUUUGGUUAUAUUUACAAUAACUUUUAUCUUCUCUCCCAAUUUUUUAUAUUUAUAUUUAUUAUUAUUAUUAUUAUUUAGCUUUAAAAACUUAUGGUCAAAAGAAACUUAUUCUCAUGAACCAAGCCAUCAACUUUUACUUUUUUUUUUUUUCUUUUAAAAGAAUUUCUUCUAUAACUAUACUUAUUGUCUUCUUGGAAAGAUAGAUAUAUUUCCAUCUUUUCAAUAAUAGAAUCAAUUUUUAUUUUAUCAACUCUUACAUUGUAAUGUAGUAGGGAAAAUUAAAAUGUAUGAUCUCAAAUUUAAUUUAAGUAAUUAGAGAUAUGUUUCUUGAUCAACGUGCAGUAAAUUUAUCUCUCUUUUUUUUUAAAAAAAAUAAUUUUGAUACAACAUAUGCAUGGAUGUUUGAGAAUUAAACAAGUUUCAAAUUCGGAGGUUGACAAAACAUUUUGACACACAAAUAUACUGAAGUGACAUAGAUACCGAUGGAUCUUAUCUCUUACAAAUUUUUAGUUUGACUAUCAUCCAUCCAUCCACAAUUUGAUAGACUUAUUUAAUAUAUAUGUGUCAAACAACCACGAUUCCUGAAAUAAAACCCCAAAGUUAAUUAAUUUUUACAUAAAACUAAGGUCAUCAAAAUGAGUUCUUUGCCAAGUAUUUGUUCCAAAAGGUGGAUUAAAUUCCCUAAUGUUUUGAUUCCUUGUUUGCAAGCCAUUGCAGAGCAUGGAAUAGAAGAGUUCAAGAAAAAACAUGAAGUGAGCCUGAUAUACAAGAACGUUGUUGAAGGUUGGUAUAAGGAGUUGGAUGAUCAUGGAAAUACUAUAAGGUACCGUCUUCAUAUUCAAGCAUACGAUUGUAUUAGACGUCUACUCAAAUUUGAAGCUGUUUUGCUCCAACAACAUGCUCAGAAUAAUGAAAAAUCUACCAUCACUCUUGAGUCUUUUGAACAGAUAAUUUCUUACCUCUAAAAUAAAGUAAACUAUAAUAUAUAUAUAUAUCAAACUUUCCUUUCCCUUUUUGUCUUGUGUUCUUCCUUCUAGCUCUCUACACACUUUGUCACUUAUUUGUAUGCUUUGUACUGUCUUUUGCUAUCUAUAUAUUGUCCUAUCUGAAUAACCAUAUGUAGUAAUGAGUCGUACGAGUUUUUUGUAUUAGGUUUGAAGCUUUUCGGGCAAGUUUUGUUUCUCUCUUUCUGUAAUCGCUCUAGCAAUUGUAUUGCGGAUCAAGGCGUUUGUUUUGAGUGAGAUUAUUAAUAGUUUUAUGAAGUGUUUCUAUUGAAAAAAAUAAAUAAAGCUAUAUACCAAACUUUCCCUUUUGUGUUGUGGUCUAUCUGAUGAUCUACAAUACAUAUUCUUUACCGCUUAUAGUGUUGUGUUUUGUAUUUCGCUAUCUAUAUAUCAUAAUUAACUAACCAUGUAGUAUUAGUUUCUAAGGUUUGUUAAAAGCUUCACAAAUAUAGUCUCUCCUCUAGCUAGCUAUGGUUGGGAUAUUAUUUAAAAGGAUUUUAACAAGAAACUAUUGGGAUCACUACUGUCUAUAGUUAAACAAAUAUGGAUUGGAUAUCAUUCUCAGAAUCAACAACACAUAAAGUUGAGGGAAAAAU